rnacentral:lncRNA from 1 species
GGACGGAUUUUUAAAAACCCGAACCCGAACCCGACUCCAAACUCGAGACCUGAACCCGAACCCGAACAAGAUGGAUUUUAAAAAUCCAUAUCCAAACCCGAACCCGACAAAAAAAUCCAAUACCCGAACCCGAACCCGAACCCGAACCCGAACCCGAAAUUUGAACCUGAAACAAUUAUUUCUUUUUUCAAUAUUUCAAAAUAUAUUACAUUAAAUCUAAAUUUUUAAAAUACAAAUUCAAAUAUAACAUCAAAUUUUUAUAUAUAUAUAUAUAUUAUAUAUAAUACAAAAUAAAUUCGGGUUCGGGUCGGGUUCGGGUUCGGGUUCGGGUUCGGGUCGGGUACAAUCAAAAUCCAUAUCCGAAUCCAUAUCCGUCGGGUUUCUAUUUUUGAUAUUCAUAUUCGAAUCCAUAUCCAUAUCCAUGGAAAAUAUCCGUUUCAUUCGAAUUAGGAUUCGGAUAAAAUUUUGGGUAUCCAUACCCAUUGACAUCCCUAGUUAUAAAUUCCAAAAGUUAAAAAUAUAAUGAUAAAAAAUAAAAGGUUGCAAACCAAAAUAAAAAGUGGGGCUUUGGUUGGGGACCAAUGGUUGCAAUUAACCCAAACUUUAAAUUAAAAAAAAAGUUUAAAGUAUAAAGAAUUUAUCAUUUAUAACUAAUUUUGGUAGAGAUCCCUCAACUAUUUUUCUCCAUUGUUGAUUCUUAUAGUUAUAAAUUACUUUUAUUAAUUAAGUUAAUGAUUCUAUCAACUGUAUCAUGAUUUUGUUAAAAUUGUGUUCUUUUAGCUAUCGCAAGUUCCGUUAAAACUAACUGAGCAUCUUAAUUUAGGCGCCUAAUUAACUGGUUUCAAUUUGGUCCUCGAACUUAUAAAAUUUUUUUAAAAAAAUUAAAAUUUAGAAGUAUUUUAUUUUAGUCAUUAAAUGUAAGGAAAAUUUAUUACGCGCAUUUCAUUCAUCUGUAAGUUUAUUUACUAGAAAUAAAUCAGCCCUCUACUCAUCUUACACUUUCACACUCUGUGUGACGGUCCUAAAUUUCAAAAUUCAUAAAAAUUUUAGGGAAAACUUCAAAAACCCCCCUUGUGGUUUCGUGCAUUCUCACUUUGCUACCCUGUGGUUUAAAACGUAUCAAUUUGCCCCCCUGUGGUUUCGUUUUUAUCUUUUUGUUAUCAAUUUUAUUAUUAUUUUUUUUUAAAAUCAGUGACAAAGUUAAAAUUAAAGGAUACUAAAGUGACUAUUUGAUAAAUAUAGAUGGUUAUCUGAAGUUUUUUGUAUAUAAUUUAACGAAAUAUUAACGAAAAAGCUUCCGAAAAGAUAAAAAUGAAACCACAGGGGGGUAAAUUGAUACGUUUUAAACCACAGGGUAGCAAAGUGAGAAUGCAUGAAACCACAGGGGGGUUUUUGAAGUUUUCCCAAAAUUUUAUUUCUAGUUCACUUUUGUUUGGUACCAUAAUGAGUCAGUGAAAAUUCAAGUCACUCAAAAGAAUUUUGUGGAAUUUCUCACAUUACAAACAUCUCCUAUAUUUCCAAUUUUCAUCAUUUGAGGUUAGAGUUGGUAAGAAUUUAUUUAAUAUCAAAUUAUUUUUCAUCAAGAAUCUCCUACUAGCUAUAUAACUCAGUAGAAAAUGAAAAAUGUAAUCAAAUUGAAAUGAUUUGGCUCUUGUUAUUAAACAACAAAAGGAAUAGAAUUCAGUUGAACUUUAAUAAAAUCAAAAAAAAAAAAAACUUCAAAACUAUGUAUCAUGGACACUUUUAUAAGCCUCGCGAAUCUGUUUCAAAAUCGUGUCCGAUGCAGACACGUCAUGGAUACGCGUUCGAUGUGAAUAUAUAGCGCAUCCCAUUAAAAAAUAAUUAUUUUAUUUUAUUUUUUUCUGCGUACAUAAUAAUAUAAGAUGAUAAAUAUUUUGACUUUUUGAUGAAUGUAUAUAAAAUAUAAAGAUGUCCGUGGACCGGAUCGGGUCUGGGUAAUUAAUAUACUGUAUCCAUACCCUAAAAAGAAAUGGUUACAAAAAAAUAUAUAUACCCUACACAUUUAACUUCAGGUCGGGUCCGGAUCUGGGUACUAAAGUUACUAAUAUAUCCAUCAGGUCUAUUUGAGCGGGUCUGGAUAGUGACUAUCCGUAUACUACCCGUUCAAGACCGGAUAUGGAUCGGUUCUAGAUCGGGUACGGAUAUCCGUAUAAAUAUAUAUUUUUUUAUAAACUUUAUUAAAUAGUCAAUAGACAAACUGUAAAGCCCACUAUAAAAAACCUCGCAUUCUAAUAAGUUGUACCGUCCAAUAAAAUUCAUUCAAAAAAAAUAUUGUCGCUGAUGAUGAUGAUGACACUGAUGAUGAUGAUGACAAUAAAAUAUUGUUGGCGAAAAUGAAAUGAAAAAAAAAAGAGUAGAAAACAAAUAGUAAAAAAAUUAGAAAAAAAUAAUGAGUAAAAGAGACGACUAGGGUUUCAUUAGGAUGAAAAUACGUAGUAACUCAUCAUCUAUAAGUUCGGGUCCGGAUUUGAAAACUAUUCCGGACCCUAUACAUUUAAAAGUUAAGUUCGGGUCGGGUCCAAAUCGGGUAUGGGUAUAAAAUAUUCGGAUCCAUACCUGAAACUUUAAUGGGUAAUUUUUUUUAUCCGUAUACUAUUCAUUUUUUAUCGGGUCCGGUUCGGGUUUGGGUCGGAUAUGGGAUAUCGGAUAUUUUGGACACCUUUAAUAAAAUAUUGUGGCUAAUAUAAAUAAAUUAUGUAUAGUGGAGAAUUUUUUUAAAAUAUAUGAACUAUUAAUGAAAAUUUUUUUAACUUUUAUUCGUAUGAGAAAUAUAACAUACUUUAGCAAAAUUAAUAUUUUAUAUCAUGUAUAUAUAAAUAUUAUAAUAUUAAUAAUAUUAUAUUUUAUUAGCGAUGAUAAUGUCGUUUCGGUGUCUUAAUUUUUUAAAAGUUGUCGAAUCACCGUGUUCGAAUCAUAUCAUGUCCCGUGUUCUUUGUCCAUGUUCGAAUUUAUUCAUAUCGUGUCCUGUAUUUUUUGUCCAUGUUCGAAUUAUAUGUAUUCUGUUGCUGAUGAGUAGAAUAAUCAUUUCGUGCGGAGAAUGUUUUACGCAUCAAAGAUUAGGCUCGGUUGAACGUCAACCGACGCUGCAGACAGCCAGCCGUCUUAGGUUUUGUCAAGGUGGGGUUGGUGGGUCCGGCAGAGGGAGGAAGGAAGCCUGCCGGCUCGGUCCAGGUUGGUUCGGGCCUGCUUCCCAACUUCUUCGGUUUAAUUAUUUUUCGUCCCUUUCUGCAUCAACGUGGUUGCGUUAUUUGAUUGGAGACAGUGAACGAUGGAGGGGAUCGAAGAGAAAGUGCCGAGAAAAUGUGAUUUAUGGAUUAGGUAAAACUCUUUUGUCUCUAGCUAUAAAGGCCUAGUUUGGUUGAAAAAAAUAAACUGUUAUUAUUAUUAUUAUAGCUAUAAUUUUUGGGAUUUUGAGACAAGGAUAUAUUUGGUAUUGAAACUAGUAUUCGUGCUGAUACCCAUUAUAUAACCCAAAAUUUAAAAUUAAACAAAAUAAUAUAAAAAAAAAAUAUUGGAGGAGAAAGAAGAUAACUAAAUUAAUAUGCAAUUAAUUACAUUCUUGGUAAUACCCAUGCAGCCACGUCUGCUAUGACUUUUUUUUUUAAUUAACUCAUGCUUAACUAUAUAUAGCCAUGAAAUCAUAACAGAUGAUAAAUCUAAUUUUACUUUGAAUAAUUAUAUAUCAUAAUUAUAUUCAAAUAAAAGAUUUAAACUUAUCUCUAGUUAUAUUUUAAUUAAGUUUGGAUUAUUAUUUUCAACAUUUGAUUUUUCAGAAAAGUGUAAAAAAAAUUUAAAAGAAAAAAACUCUUUCAUGAAUAUAUUUUUUUUAAAUUUUCCACCGGUAUGGUUUGGCCGAGAAAAUAAAUUAUUAUUAUAGCUAUAAUUUAUGAGAUGAGGGUCUGUUUGGUUUCUCGAAAAAUUGUGAAUUUUUUUUUAAGAAUAAAUUUUUUUUUUCAAUUUUUCGACUGUUUGGUAGAAGAAAAUUAAGUAUUUUUGAAAAAAAAAUCGUAUUCAAGAAAAAUUAACAUUUUCGUUUUUUUGACUUUUUACCGAACACACUAAUUUUUCAUAAAAUAUAUAAAAAAAAUAGUAAAUGCUUGUUUUUCUUAGAACCAAAUGGAAGGAAAAAUAAUUUUUCAUGAAUAGUUAGAUAGAAUGUAGUAUCCAUAUAUAUAUAUAUAUAUAUAUAUAUAUAUGUAUGUAUGUAAUAUAUAUAUAUGUAUGUAUGAUAUUAUGUAUAUAUGUUAUGUAUGUAUGUAGUUAUAAUUAUGUUAUGUAUGUAUGUAGUAUAUUAUAUAUAUAUAUAUGUAUAUAUAUAUUAAUAAUAUUAUGUAAUGUAUGUAUAAUAUAUAUAUAUAUAUAUAUUAUAUAUAUAUAAUAUAUAUAUAAUAUAUAUAUAUGUAUGUAUGUCUAUGUACUUGUAUGUAUAUAUAUAUAUAUAUAUAUAUAUAUAUAUAUAUAUAGAUGACAUGUGCCUAUGCAUGCAGUUCAUGCCUAUCCAUUUAUGUAAUUGAGGGUUGCACCAACACCUCAUUAAUUAACUUUCUCUCUCGUUUCGGCCGAAGCAACGACGAGCUCGGGGAGUUACCGCGAGCCGAUUUCGACACCAACGAUGCAGCGCGGAGCCGUUCGAGGGUACGGUUGCAGUCGUAGCGUCGCAGGGAGCUUAGGCGAGGGCGUGUUUUCGUCGUUCUCGACGCCGCGUCGAUGUCCGAUUAGCCUUUGAGAUGAGUGUUCCGUUGCAUUGCUUCAAGUAUUGUCAUUUUGAACUUGGUGCUGAUUUGCAGAAUUUCCAGCGUCGAUCAUCGGUAUUUCAGUUCGUACUCGGCGUAGGAGCGUCGGAUUUCGACGAGACUUGGUUCGUUGGAUUCGGGACUUCGAGAGGAAUCCAUGAAGCCCUUACUUGCUGGAUUUAGUAAAGGUUUGCUAGGUCGGAAUUUCACUCCUCUCUGUUGCUGUUUUUGAGGCAGAAUUAAUGCUUAUUGUCGGAUUCUCCGUGUAGAGUUUGGCGGGAGCUUGACUUCGGGCCUUGGGAGGUUUUCGGACGUUUUGGCAGGUUGUUCCGCAGCCGAGGGGAGUUCCGUGCUGCCAGGGAUUAGCGAGCGAGGUGGGUUAAUCAUCGGCUUAUACUUCUAAGUGCGCAAUAGUCAACAUGUAUAAUUUCAGAUUUUGUAUAGUUUACUUUAGCUCGAAUUCAUGGAUUUUGUUAUAGAUAGCAAAUCUGAAUUUGGAGCAUGUGGUAUUAAAUUGAGUAGUUUAUACAUGUUAGACUUGGAAUUUGAAUUAGGAGAAAACCUGCGAUUUGGACCUGUCACAUGUUUAAACUGCCUGAUUUAGCUCUAGGAGCCGUUAUAAAAUUGUACUGUCGCAGUAUCUUCGAGACGAGUACUUCAGCUAGUUUAGAAUAUAUUUACGCUCGUGCUGGUGUGCCGAGUGGAUUUUUACAGGGUCGUUCAGAUUGUUCCGGACUGUUGGGUGCCGUCAGGGUUGACGGUGGACCCGUAUCGCCUUUUUGGCAUCAGAUUGUGCUGAGUGCACUUUACCUGUUGGUUAUUAGACCAGUUUGAGUUGGUUACUUGACUUUGGCUUUUCAGAGCCUGAUUGAGCUCGACAGAGAUACUCUACAUACUCGGUUGGGUAGCGCCCACGAGUGCCACUCUGGAGUCAGGCUUUGUGCUUUCGCGUUGGUGUCGCUCAUGCCAGUUGGACUUUCUCUCCACGGACCAGUUAGUGUGGAUAGAGCCUGAUAGUCGUAACGGGGUAGGGACGGGUGUAUUCACAGUCCCGGGGACGGGUAUGCUUACAGUCCCGAUUGGAUUGGGUCAGAUUUGACAUUUACUACAAUUGGUUAGUGUUGAGCAUGAUAGUGUAGUGAUCGAUAGCGGUAGAGUUUACUUCCUGCUUUUCUGACUACUCUUGCUCCCUUCUGUAGACUUAAUGGGUGGACCGAUGUGGUUUUGGGUGGUACCCACUGAGAACUACUUGUUUUUACAGUAGUUCUCACGCCCAGUUGUUACCUCUAUUUUGCAGAGCCGCAGGUUCCGGCUGCUGCGCCUUCCGCGGAUCAGGAUCGAGGCAAGGGCGUCGCGAGUUAGAGCCCUACCCGUCCUACUGAGUUAGAGGUGCCCCUACUGCAGGUAGAUGUUUUGUUUCGAGUUUCUGUAUAUAGUAGACUUAACUCGCCAGUGCGAGUAGCCCUGUAUUUUGGAUUUGGACUAUGUAUAUGAAACUCAGUUUGUUUAGCUUCUGUUUUCUCUAGCAGCUCUCUACUACUGUUCGUAGUAGUGUUUGAUUUACAGGUACAGCUGUCGCUUCGUAUACAGGAAAAAUUUCUUUGUAUACGGCGGAUUUGUCGGCGUGCCCGGGAAACGAGACAUCCGGGGCGUGACAUAGAAAUAGUAGGAAUAAAAGUAAUUAUAAUUUUAAGAUAAUAAUAUUUUAUCCAAUUAAAUAACAUCAAAAUAUUAAUUGAAUAAUAAUUUAAUAAAUAAAUUGAUUAAUUAAUCAUGAAUACAGUUAGAUAACCAUAAAUAUUAUCAUACAUUUAUUGAUCAUUAAUUUAUUAACCAUGAGUACUAUUAGUUAAAAUUAACUAACCAUAAAUAAUUUCAUAAACUAAGAAAUUAAAAUAUUAGCUUAAUAAAUUAAUAGAUUAAUAAAAUAAUUUAAUAAAUAAAUAAAUUAAUUAAUUAAGGUCAAAAUAUUAAUUGGUACUAAUAAAUAAUACAUUUAAGAAGUAGUAUUUUAUUAUUAACUAGUAUAGUUAUAAGGGGAGGAAUUGUUAUUCCAACUCAUAAGGUGGAACAAUAAUUCCAUCUUAUUAAUUCUUCGGAGCUUUAAAGUCGAAAUCUAAUUUAUCAGAAUUAAUAUUUUCGGAGCAAUUUUUGUGUUACAGCAGAGUGGAAAAAAAAUGUCUAAAACAUCAUUAAAUUCAAUGAAUCUGCUUUUAGCAUUAUUAAUUCUUGCUAUGGAAAUAUCAAUUUCCUGUUGAGCGAAAUUAUACUAAAAAUCUGAUUAAUUAUCUAAUUGAUUUUAUGGUAAAGAUAAAAUCAAAUUUACAGAUAAAUGCUAAAAUUCAAAUAAAUAAUUUGAUUGAUUUGGAAGCAUGCGUAGCAUAGCCUCCCGUCAUUUGUGCGGGAUUAACCGAAAACAUCGUUCCAAGGUAUGACUGGAAUUUUUUCUCCUACGAGUAUAAACGCAAAAGAGAUUGAUAGAGAAACUUUCAAUAUCUGAUAAUAAAGAGAUCAAACAAAAUAAAAUUAAAAUAAAAAUAAAUAAAAAAUUCUUUUUUCUCCUCUUUUGUUUUUUCUUCUUCUAUUUCUUUCUACAAUGUCCAUGUUAUAUGAACAGUAGAGGAGGCAGUAUAAAUGGGGUGUAUAUGGAACAUUUGAGGCGCCCAACGUUCCACUCCAUUAACUCCAUUUAAUGCCAUACAUUCCAACUUAUUAAUUAAAAUAAUAAAUAAGAAUAAUAAUAAAAAUACUUAUAAAUGAGAAUAAAAAUAUUAAUGAAUUAAAAAUAAAAUAAUAGUUAUUGAAAAAUUUUGAAUUUACAUUUCCUAGGUAAAAGAAUAGUAUUCUUUUGCAAGGAUUUGGAUUUAGAUUUGGGAAAACUUCAAAAUAUCACUCAUGUGGUUUUGCGCUUUUUUAUUUUAGUAUUGUGUAGCUUAAAUGUACGACUUUAGGAUCAUGUAGUUUUGUUUUUCUCUUUCCAUUAUUUCUUAUGUUAAUUAUUUCGUUAAAUGAAUGACAAAGUUAAAACUAUAUGGUACUCAAGUAAAAAUUCUAUAAACCAUAUGGUACUAAAAUGAAUAUUCGAUAAACCAUAAAUAGAGUAUUUGUAGCUUUUUGUAUAUGAUUUAAGAAAGAAUUAAUGAAGGUGCUGACAGAAAGAGAAAAAUAUAACCAUGAGAUACUACAGUGACACACUUUAAAUCAUAUGGUACUAAAAUAAGAAAAUCCAAAACCACAUAGGUGGUAUUUGAAGUUUACUCUUUAGAUAUUUUGCUUUACAAAAUUAUUCUUAGAGUAUUUGAUUCAAAGAUCAAAAUUGUUCAGAAACAUUUUAAAAUAUUUUAACAUUUCAAAAGUUAAAUUUUAUAAAAUUUCAGUACAUUCUACUCACUCGUCAUUACUUGUCAAAUUGAACUAUUUUAAUGAUUGAUUUGAUAGAAUUACUAGUUUGAUGGUAAAAUGUGACUGAAAUAAGUUGAAAAUUUAUUAGAAAAUACUUUUCAAAGAUCCGAUAAAAAAUGAUGAUUUGAUUCUGGAGAAUUAUUAGCUACAUUUGUUUUGGCCUAUUCAAUUUAACACUAUUUCAUUUAUCUCUUUGUUCGAUACAUAUGUAAAAGAGUACCAAAAAUUUGUAAUUUUUUAUAUCAAGUAAAUUUAUAUAUUCUAAAUUAUUUUCCAAAGCAUUGAUCGUUGAUUCAAAUUAAAAAUAUUACUGCAUUAAACCAAACGCACUAAUGCAGCAUCAGUAGUAAUCUCACGCUGAAAUUCAAGAUAUCUGGAUAUGUCAAGAUACUUUGUAAUAUUAUAUAACUUGAACGAAACGGGCCCUAAAAGAAAAAUGAGCCUUACUCAAUUUAUAAUAUUUAGAAUAUCUACAUUAAAACUAUAAAUGUUGAAUACAGCAACCGAUGGAUUUUUCUCUAUUCUUGGUUUUUGAAGCUAUUUUAUACCCAAGUUAUAGUUAUAGGUUUUCUGAAAUACAUAUAAUUUUUUAAUAUUAAUCAUAAAAUAUUUUAUACUUUUUUUUAAAAAAAAAAGAUAGUAAACUAUUCGUUUUGUUUAUUUUUUUAAAAAAAUCAGUUAGAAAUGUAAAAUAAUAAAAUUUCGAACUUUGGAACUCAGAUAUUAAUCAUCAAGUAGAUUAAUGGCAUAAAAUGAAUAUUAUUCAUCUACAGUGAGUACUAUAGCUGGUGUGUUUCUUCCCUUUUUAACUACUAGGCAGUGCACGUAUUAGUAAUAUUUAAUAUUACAAACUUUAAUAUUAGUUAGUAAUAUAUGUAUUAGAUUAGAAAGAAGGUAUUAUAAUUUUUAUCAAAAAAUAAAAUUUUAUUGCAGCAAUUUGAAUUGGCCAUUAAAUUUAUUUUCAAAAAUAAAAUUAUGUUCAAAUUGUGAAAUUAUGUUCAAUUUAGUUAAUUAAUAAGAAAAAAUGAAAAGGUUUAGAUAGGGAAUGAGGUUUAUACGAGGAAUGUAUUAGGGAAUGAAUUUAAUCAUUGGGCAUUAAUAUCUGUUUUUGGAAGGCCUGGGAAUUAGAAUCGGGAUAUGAUUUCUAUUAUCUUGUCCAAUAAUGGCUUGAAUUUUACGUCUUUCUAUUUACAUGAAAAUUAAAUCACAGAAUACAUAAUUAAUUCCUUAUGAAGACUCUAAUAGAAAUAUCAUCUUCUUAAUUAAAUAAAUGGCAUGUUUUAAUUUGGAUUCGCUAGUUAUUUAUUGCCGCACGAGGAGUGAUCAUCAUCCUCUAAUAAUGGAAAUUAAAUAGUAAUGCUUCCUCGCCCCUUUUUUUUGGCAAAUUAUAUAAUUUUACCAAACGUUUCUUAUGUAGUAAUUUUUUAAUAACUUUUCAAAGCCAAUUUGGAUAAACAUUGUAAAUUUUGAAUUAAACUUCAAAUUUUCUCACCUCUCAUAUAAUUUAACAAAAUUGCGCUUAUAUAUAUUAUUUAUUUUUUGGAAUCUUUUAAGCCAAUUUAGAUGUACAAUCUAAAUUUUGAAAAAGUUAUUCAAAUUUUAACAUAAAUCUAAACUUAUAAUGUACAUUUAAUAAUGUUUUCGCAAAUAAUCAUUUAAAUAGUUUUCCCUCACUUGUAUCGGAAGUUUUUUUUCGAAAUUAAUAUUUUAGGCAUUAAUAAAUCUGUUUAUAGCGUUUUACAAAUUAUCUUGAUGGAUAUUUAGGCAUCGUUUGGGAUUGCGGAAAGAUUGCAUUACGUGCGGUACCAUGUUUGUUUCCGUACGUAAUAUUGCAUUUCGCAUAUUGUGGUUAGUCGGUUACGAUAAAUUUUCUGCAGUCCCAUAGGAAAACGCAGAAGCAUAUUCUUAUAUGCUUUUUCUCAACUCCAUUCUAUCUAAUAGCGUUAGAUCCACCUCAAUACCAAACUAAGUGCAGUGUCCCUGUUGUUUGGUUGCCUGUGAGAUUUCAACAUCUAAGGUUUGUCGACAUAUCUAGAGAGUGUCAGGACAAGUCGGAGUUGUUUUGGCGCGAAAUAGACGCAAAACGGACUCAACGCGAGGCGAGAGUGAAGUUCUGACACUGAAAUCCGCAAAGUGCAGGAUUUCAGUGUUGAGUAUCGGUACCAGAGAGAGGUACCGGUACCCAAGUGGAAUUACAGAACAGGAUGUUCUCGGGUUUCCGUGAGGUGAUGUUGAGUAUCGAUACUGACCAGUAAAGUACCGGUAUCGAGCCCGGGUACCGGUAUUGCAUCGGGCUGGUACCGGUACCCAGUGUGCGAGGCUACGGGCUGAGGGGCCGACUACCGGUAUUGGAGUUGGGUACCGAUACCCUAGCUGUAUUUUUGAGUAGGUAAGGGGUAGUUUGGUCUUUUGAUUAGUCGUUCAACCCAAUGUUCCUCCCAACCUUUAUAUUCACAGAGAGAGUUGUAGAGUAGGGGUUUAUUUCUCAUUUCUCUCUCUCUAGCUUGUGGAUACCGUAUGAGGAGGAGGUCGCGGCUCGAGCUCGGGUGGAUUUCGACGUUGCUCCUGAGGGCCGUUCGAGCACGUGGGCAUCACGGUUGCGUCGUUGGAGGCUGGGCGGGUGCGUUGAUUCCCUCCUUUCGACUUCUCGCCACGGUUGGACGAGCGUUCGAGGUGGGUUGAUGUUUACCGAAAUCGUUGGAUUUUCUCCUAAGUCUUAGCAUCAUCAACAUGCUUCAUUGGUUUUGUUUCUUUUGCUAGUACUCAAAUUCAUGGAAUUUUUAUGUUAGUGCAUAAAAUCUGAAUUUGGAGCUAAGCUAGUGAUUGUAUACAUGUUGGACUUAGAAAUUGACUUAGGAGAAAACCAUUAAACCCUACACUGUCAUUUUCUGAAAAAUUACCAGAUUUAGAUUUAAGAGUUGUAGUUCUUUUGUAUUGCCGCUGUUAGUAUGCGGUGGAUACCCAGAUUAGUGUAGGUUGAGGUUAUGCUUUAUGCUGGGAUAUCGAGUUCAUUUUAUAGCAGUGUGUAGACUGUUUUGUACUGUCGGGUGUCGUCGCGGUUGACGGUGGGUCCAGAUUUCUGUAUCUUGCAUUAGAUUGUGCCAAGGGCAAGUGAGCUUUGGUUGAUAGACCAGUUAGGCUCUUUUGUAUUGACUACAGCCUGUGAGAGCCUGUUUGAGCUCGGCAGAGAUACGCUUGCAUACUCGGUUGGGUCGUGCCCAGGAGUGUCGCUCCGGAGUGAGGCUUUUACUUGCGUUGAUGUCGCAGCCAUCCUGUUUUGGACCGUUUACUUAGACCGGCCAUCCCCGAGGGUGGUGUACGGUAUAGUUUGCCUACAGGCAGGGUGGGUCCAUUUGGGCAGCCCUAGUGAGAUUGAGUUAGAGUGAUGCAUAUUUUAAUUAUCUACAGAUAGCCUGUGUGGGUUAGUGAUAGUAUAGUUGCAUGUAGGUGUAGAGUUUUUCCAACUUUCCUUACUAUCUUUGCGCAUAUUUUCUGUAGACUUAGUGGGUGGGCCGUUGAGGACGGUGGCGGUACCCACUAAAGACUACUUCUUUUGCAGUAGUUCUCACACCCAGUUGCUGACCUUUUGCAGAGCCUUCGUCCGUGGCUGCUGCUGCCGCCGAUUCAGAUCGUGGGAAGGGAGUCGCGAGCUAGAUCCCUACCAGCUUUGUUGCCGUGCUAGAGGAGUACCUUCCACAGGUAGUUUUGGGGACUUUCUUGUACAUAUGGUUAUGUUGUCGGGUACUUGCUGGAGCGAGUUGUGUUGUGGACAUUUUGUAUGUACAGGAACCCCUCGAGAUUUUAUAUAUGUGUUUAUUUUCAGUUUAGCACCUCUAUACUACUGGUUGUAGUUAUGUUGUGAUUACAGGUACAACUAUCGCUUCGUAUACACGGAAAAUUCCUAUGUAUACGGGGAUCUGUUGGCGUGCCCGGAGAAACGAGGUAAUCCGGGGCAUGACACUAGCCUUAAUAUCAAAUUAAAUAUGUAUGAAAUUUUAUUUGUAUGACAUUUUGCUUAUCCUAUUAUUAAAUAUGCUCAUACAUAUUAAUUACGUAAAAAAUAUUUGAAUUUUCUAUUAACUUUUGAAGUGUCCCUGGUGUUCUGCAGCCGUGAGAUUUCAGCAUCUGGGGCUUGUUGACACAUCUGAAAAGUGUCGGGACAAGUUCGAGUCGUUUCGGCGCGAAAUGGACGCAAAACGGACUCAACGCGACGCGAGAGCAAAGUUUUGACAUUGAAAUAUGCAAAGUGCAGAUUUUAGUGCUGAAUACGGGUACCACGCAGGGGCGUACCGGUACCCUAGUGUAUUCCGAGAACAGACUGCUCUCGAGUUGCGAUUAUUGAUGCUGGGUACCGAUACAGCAUCGGGCUGGUACCGGUACUCUAGGGUAGGUGAGGGGCCUUUUGGUCAAUUGCUCCAUCGUGGACUUCACCCUUAUCCCCAUCGUGUAUAUAUGUUUAGAGAGGCUGAGAGGGAGAUUUUAUUUCCUGUUUCCUCUCUCUCUCUAGUUUUUGGUUGUGGUGGUUGUGGUGUUCGUGGCUCGAGCUCGGAUCGACUUGACGGUUACGCCGGGGAGUCGUUCGAGCGUGUGGNCGUGCGUCGGGAUAGAGCCGUUGGACGCCGUGCGAGCACGUAGUUCCUCUCCUGUCGACUUCUCGUCGGAGUUGGAUUAGCUUUUGAGGUGGGUUGGAGUUAAGUUACCGAAAUUUUUGAAUUUCCUCCUAAGCCUAGUUUGUUGUCGGCAUGUAUUUUUGGAUUCGUAUAUCAUGUUUAGUAGCUCGAUUCGUCGAUUUGCAUUGUUCUUAAAUGAAAUCUGAAUUAGAGCUUUAGUUUAUUAUACAUGUUGGACUUGGAAUUGACUUAGGAGAAAACUAUAAGUUCUACACUGUCAUUUUCUGAAAACUAACAGAUUUAGCUUAAGCUGUAGUUUGUUUAUAUUGCCGCAGUUUGUAGGCAGUGUAUACCCAGAAUAGUUUAGAAUGAAUUUACGCUCGUGCUAGGAUGCCGAGUUUAUUUUUACAGUAGUGUAUAGACUGUUCCGAACUGUCGGGUGCUGUCGCGGUUGACGGUGGACCAGAUUUCUGUAUUUUGCAUCCGAUUGUGCUGAGGGCACGUGAGUUAUGGUUGUUAGACCAGUUAGACCCUUCUGCUUUGACUAUAGCCUGUGCGAGCCUGAUUGAGCUCGGCAGAGAUACGCUUGCAUACUCAGUUAGGUGGCGCUCACGAGUGCCACUCCGGAGUUGGGUUUUGUGUUUUUGCGUUGUUGUCAUUGUGUCCUGUUUGGACUCGCUCUCCACUGACGACCCAGCGUGGUGGUAGUUAGUGUAGCUUCGACAGGCAGGACGGGUGUGUUCACAGUCCCUAGUGAGAUUGGGUCAGAGAUUGUAUUUUUCUACAGAUAGUUAGCGUUGGAUCGUGGUAGUAUAGUGGCAUAUAGCUGUAGAAUUAUUUCAGCUUUCUUUACUAUCCUUAAGCAUACUUCUAUAGAAUUAGUGGGUGAGCCGUUGAGGUCGGUAGCGGCACCCACUGAGGACUAUUUCGUUUUGCAGUAGUUCUGACACCCAGUUGUUGAACCCUUGUUGCAGAGCCUUCUUUUUCAGCUGUUGCUGUUGCGGAUACAGAUCGUGGAAAGGGAGUCGCAAGUUCAAUCCCUUCCCGUUUUGCUGCUGAUCUAGAGAUAUACCAGCUACAGGUAGUGUUGGUUUUUGGUUCUUGUACAUACUGAUAUUUGAUCCUCGCUGGAGUGAGUGUUAUGUAUCUAGAGACUAUGUAUGUAUAGAGAACCUGAUGUUAUUUAUAUAUAUUUUUCAGUUUAGCAGCUCUAUACUACUAGUUGUAGUUUUGUAUGAUAACAGGUACAGGUACAGCUAUCGCUUCGUAUAUAAAAAAAAUUUCUUUGUAUAUGGCGGAUUUGUCGGCGUGCCCGGGGAAACGAAUAAUCCGGGGCGUGACACUUCUAUCGUAACUUAAACUCAAAUUUGUAUUUUAUUUCAUUAUAUGUGUUGCUAUUUGAAAUUUGCCAAUUCGAAAUUAAAUUUGUGUUUAAAAUUUCUGAUUUAAAGGUUCGGUAAAAGGUUUUAAUUAACAGCUAAAAAUGGUUUUGUAAAAUUACCUUCUGUUAAAGAAAUUGUGUGAAAAAUAUCAAAGGUAGCGAAAAGCGAUUUAAGCUUUAGCAACCUUUUAAAUAGUCAAACUUAAGAUUUGCAUUAAAAUAGAAACUGUUUUAUACAUCAGCACUAUAGGCCAAAAAAAUAAGAAAGAACAAAAAAAAAACCUGAAACAUUUAGAGAAGCAAACAAAAUGCUAGAAAUAUCAUCAAACAACAUUUCUAUACGUUUGCUUGAGAAAGCUACAAAAAAAUUAUUAUAUUACUGUAACUGAAUGCGCUUAUUUUGAACAACCCAGUUGCCGUUGUAUCCAGAAGGAGUUCUUUCUUUCCAAAUAAUUCUCUCACAAGAAAAUGCAGAAUGGUAAAUAUAGACCUUUGUUCCAAUCGGAUAAUUAUCACUCAAGCUCAAAAUCUCAAUAGCACGAUUGUGUAUGUCCAUAAUGAAAAUGCCAUUGGCGGUCAUCAAAAAUAUUUUAUCAUAUGUUCAAAAAAUUGUCGUACUAUAGAAUAUAGAAUUUACCAAUAAGGGACUGAGACGCGCUCUAGCAACAAAAACCCAAGAUAAGUUGUAUGAUGGUAGAUUCCAAAUAUCCAUUGUGUCGAGACAAGUAUAUAGUAAAUCAAGGGCUCCAUCGCAGCUUACCAACUCUUUUUUGUAAGGAUAUACAGGACAAUAGCGAGCUUGGUUUGGUAGUUCUUUGAAAUGCGAAUUAAACGUUCGUAAGUCAAACACAAAGAUCUUAAAAUUAUAUACCAUCCAAUACAAAUACUGGCCAACUGAAAACGGUCCCUCCAAAACUAAAGAAUGAGUUGCAUCUAGGCAAGUUUCACCACACCAUCGCCAAUUUCAUUAUACUGAAUCAAAUAACUCACUGACCAAAUUUGAUCUGGGAAAAUGCGACCAACAUUAUUGUAGAAUUUUAUAGUGGUGAGGUGAGUAACCAUGCAUGAUCAAAGCAAAACCUUUGGAGUGGUAAGGAUUAGAUAGCUUAACCCAUUCUUUGCUAGUGGGACGACAUAUAUAGAACCUUGGAUACUGAAGAUUAUUAUUUGAACAUAACAAACAUUUAUUCAACGAGGAUGAAAGAAUAUGAACAAUCUCCGACAUAAAUCCCAAGUUAAAAUUUGGCAAAACCAAAGUGUUAUGUGCUGGAGUAAAUUCCACAGGUAAACUUAUAUCGAAUUAUUGUACAAACAAGCCAAAUGUUCCCGACAACCUUUGACAACGACACAACAUAAAUUCAAAUGUGUAAGUUGCUCUAUUGAAGUAGAAAGAGAUAGCUCGAGAAGAGUAUAGAGUAGCCAAAUCAACUCUAGUGAAAAUUUUCAUUAAAAUAUCAGUUGGCAGUUGCACACCUUCCUCAUCAUCAACCCAAUGUUGAAUAUAACUAUAUGCUAAUGACAUAUUCUAAAUAAACUAGAAAAAAUUAAAGAAUUAGUAGCCAUCGAAGGAAAAUUUUUUUUAGAAUUUUUGUAAAAUUUUAGAAAAUAGAAUCAUAAAAAAAGAGAAGAGAUUAAUUUACAAAGUGAAAAUAAAUUAUUAUACAACUAAUUCAUCUAAUCAGCGAAAAAUAUGAAUGCAAAUAAAAAAGAUUAAUACAAGUAUAAUUUUAUUGUAUACAAACAAGUAUGACUAAAAAAUAUUUUUCACCAAAGAAUGCAUAUUAAGAAAAAAUUAAAGAAAUUAUUUUUCCAAAACUAACCGCUCAGUAAGUGUAUGAAGACCAAUUAAAUAAAUAUCACCAACUUGGUUUAAAUUCACGUAAUAUCCAGGAUAUCUCCCUCUAAAAGUCUUUUUUCUCUUUAAAUUCAAGUCGUAAUUAAUGUCAUUGCUUAUGACAACAAUACCUUCUUAUAUAUAUAAAAAAAUAUAUAGAGAAAUUAAAAAAUAAUUCACAAAUAUUUACUAAUAUUUAAUAUUUAUUAAUAUUAUUGCAUUUAUUCAAAAUGCACACUUCUCUAUAAACCUAUUCGUUUUUAGGAACAACCUUUUUAUUUUUUGGUGAAAUCUCUUCAUUUCUUAGAAAAGGUAUCUCUUCGUCCAAACUCUUAGCUCUUUGUUUCCUGGAGGAAGCUCUUCGUUUGUUGGAGAAUAUACAUCUCCUCCAUAUCUCGUUUCUCGAAACCGUAGAAGAUGAAGAUAUCACAUAUUCGGUUUUUUAGUCCUUCAUUAAUUAAAAUAUUCUAACAUUAUUAUUUCUAAAAAUAAAUUUAAACUUUACUAAUUUUUAAAAAUAUUCAGAAAUAUUUAAUAAUUAGUUUGAGUUUAAUUUUUUAAAAUUUUCUGAAUAAAUGCAUUUUGAAGCAGUAGCGCUAAUCAUAUUUUUAAAAUUCCUUUUUGAAGUUUUUUUUUUUAAAGAAAUCUCAUAUUUUCUUGAUUUGACUAAAAAAAAUUAAUUGCACAAUUGAUUUAUAAAUUCUAUUCUUCUAUGACGUUUACAUUUUGCAUGUUUUAUGAUUUACAUGUAAAUUACCAAUAUACCCUAAGUAGAAAAAAAUCUCAAUUUUUCUUGAUUUGACCAAAAAGAAAUUAAUUGCACGAUUGAUUUAUGAAUUCUAAUCUUCUAUGACAUUUAUAAUUUGCAAGAAAUAUUCAGAAAUAUUUCAUAAUUAGUUGAGUUUAAAUUUUUUUUAAAAUUUUCUAAAUUAAUCCAUUUCGUAGCAGCUUUAUUCUUUCCUGCAGCGGUAAGCAUAUUUUUAAAAUACUUUUUUGUAGUAUAGAGCUGCUAAACUAAAAAAGGUAAAUAUAUAAAACCUCGAGNUACUUUUUUGAAGCUCUUGUUUUUUUUUUAAAAAAUCUCAAUUUCUCUUGAUUUGACCCAAAAAAAUUAGUUGCAUAAUUGAUUUAUAAAUUCUAAUCUUCUAUGACGUUUAUAUUUGGCAUAUUUUAUGUCACGCCUCGGGUUACUGCGUUUCUUCGAGCACGCCAACAGACCCGCCGUAUACAAAGAAAUUUUCCUUAUAUACGAAGUGAUCAUUGUACCUGUAAACCAAAAACAAGCUACAACCACAAGAUAAGAGUUGCUAAACUAAAAAGUAAUAUAUAAAACCUCGAGGGGUUUCAGUACAUACAAAAUGUUUACAACACAACUCGCUCCAGCGAGUACCUCGACAACAUCACAGUAUGUACAAGGAAAAUCCAAAACUACCUCUUGGAGGUACUCCUUUAGUACUGCAGUAAGGCUAGAAGGGAUCUAGCACGCGACUCCCUUUCCACGAUCAGAAUCAUCAAUAGCAGCAGCCGCGGACGAAGGCUCUGCAAAAAGGGGUCAACAACUGGGUGUGAGAACUACUGCAAAAAGGAGUAGUCCUCAGUGGGUACCGUCACUGACCUCAACGGCUCACCCACUAAGUUUACAGAAAAGUGCGUAAAAGAUAGUAAGGAAAGCUGGAAACCCUGCAGCUAUAUGCCACUAAACUAUCGCUAACCUACACUGGCUAUCUGUAGAUAUAACAAAAAUGCAAUCUCUGACCCAAACUCAUUAGGGACUGUGAACGCACCCGUCUCGCCUGUCGGAGCUACACCGCACACCACCCCGAGGGCUGCUGGUGGAGAGCAAAGUCCUAACCGGACACUGCGACAUGAAUGCAAAAGCACGUAGCCAAACUCCGUAGCGGCACUCGUUGGCGCGACCCAACCGAGUAUGCAAGCUUGUCUUUGUCAAGCUCAAUCAGCCUCUCACAGGCUAUAAUUAAUGCAAAUGGGUCUAACUGGUCUAACAACCAAAACUCACGUGCCCUUAGCACAAUCUGAGGCAAAACACAAAAAUCUGGGUCUACCAUCAACCGCGACGGCACCCGACAGUUCAAAACAGUCUACACACUACUAUAAAAUAAGCUCGGUAUCCCAGCACGAGCGUAAACUCGUCCUACACUAAUCUGGGUAUCCACCACAUAUGAAUAGUGGCGAUACAAACGAACCACAGUUUCUAAAAAUAAAUUUGGUAAUUUUCAAAAAUGACAGUGUAGAAUCUAUACGUUUUCUCCUAAGUCAAUUCCAAGCCCAACAUGUAAAAUUAUAAUUCUAGCUUAACUCCAAAUUCAGAUUUUAUACUCUAAUCCAUGAAUUCGAGUACUAGCAAGGAAAUAAACCAAUGACACAUGUCGACGAUGCUAAAACUUAGGAGGAGUUCCAACGAUUUCGGUAAACAUUAACCCACAUUGAAAAGCUCAUCCAACGAGGGCGAGAAGUGGAAAGAAGGGGAAAUACACGCUCGCUUGGUUUCCAACGGCGCAACCGCGACGCCCACGUUCUUGAACGGCCCUCCGGAUUGAUGUCGAUCACCUCCCGAGCUCGAUCCACGACCUCGACAACACACGAAUCCACCAGCUAGAGAGAGAGAGGAAGAGGAGAAGAAAAAUCAGCUCCUAAGCUCUCUCUGUCAAUAUAUAGGCUGGAAAAAACAUUGGGUUGAUCGACACAUCAAAGGACCAAAAUGCCCUCUACCUACUCAAAAUCCAGCUGGAAUACCGGUACCCAAUUUGGUUACCUGUGCUCGGCCUCUCAUCCCGCAAGCUCGCACACAAGGUACCGGUACCAGCCCAAUGCCGUACCGGUACUUAGCAUCAGAUUGACGCAACCUGAGAGCAUUCUGUUCUAGAAUUACUCUGGGGUACCAGUACUUCCCUGCCGGUUACCGAAACUCAACAAUGAAAUCUGCACGUUGCAGAUUUCAGCGUCAGAACUCCACUCUCGCCUCGCGUCGAGUCCGUUUUGCGUCCAUUUCGCGCCAAAAGACUCCGACUUGUCCCGACACUCUCCAGAUGUGCCGACAAGCCUCAGAUGCUGAAAUCUCACUGGCAACCAAACACCAGGGAUACUACAUUUUAUGAUUUACGUAUAAAUUUUCAACAUACCCUUGGUAGAAAAAAAUCUCAAUUUCUCUUGAUUUGACUAAAAAAAAAAAUUGCACUAUUAAUUUCUAAUUUCUAAUCUUUUAUGACAUUUACAUUUUGCAUAUUUUAUGAUUUGCAUGUAAAUUAUCAACAUUCCCUUGGGAGGAGUGGUGAGGAGAACCCACCAAAUAUUUUUGUUUAUAGUUAAUAUCUAGAUUUACAUUCCACGUUCCAAAGAGCAGCAGCCAUGUGGAUAAGGGGAAGAAAUCUUUGUUUGGACCCUUUCAAAAAGAGAAAUGCUUGUGGUACCCCAUUUUUUGGUGCCCAAUAUAUGUGACCGAUCGUAGCAUAUUAUCUUUCUAUAUCAAUAUAUAUAUAUAUAUAUAUAUAUAUAUAUAUAUAUAUAUAUAGAGAGAGAGAGAGAGAGAGAGAGAGAGAGAGAGAGAGAGAGAGAGAGAGAAUUCGGCUGCUAUACUAUCGGUAACACGGAGGCUUCCGUGCUACCAAGUUGUUUUCGAUGAUGCGGCUUCUAAAUCGACGAUCGGCUCCGUUAGACUUGAUCUACACUAUUGAAAGUAUUUGGAAACUAAAUUUCAAAGUUUUUCGUCAUCAUUUGGCUGGUGAUCAAAAGGUCUCAAAAUUGAUAAUUUUAAUGGUAGAUGUGAUGCAUUUGUAAAGUUAACGGUGUAAAACAAUCCAAAUCAGAUGGAAUUUUUAUAGAAAUUUUUUUUUUACUAUUUAGAGUAAGAUUAAUACCUCUAAUCUUAAAUUCAAGUCUUCUAUCAUCAUUUUUUAUGAGAUUUUUGUUUUCAGCCGUUCAUUUUUAGACUACUCGUUUGAUAGGUAAAUGAUACCAAAAAAUUAAGAAAUUUAGUUUCCAAAUACUUUCAAUAAUGUAGAUGAAGUCUAACGGAGCUGACCGUCGAUUUGGAAGUGGCAUCAUUGAAAACAACUUGGUAGCACGGAGGCGUCCGUGCUACCGAUAGUAUAGCAGCCUAGAGCUACUCCUUCUCCCCCCCCCCCCCCCCCGCCCCCCCCCCCCCCCCCCACCCCCCCCCCCCCCCCCCCCCCCCCCCCCCCCCCCCCCCCCCCCCCCCCCCCUCCCCCCCCCCCCCCCCCCCCCCCCCCCCCCCCCCCCCCCCCCCCCCCCCCCCCCCCCCCCCCCCCCCCCCCCCCCCCCCCCCCCCCCCCCCCCCCCCCCCCCCCCCCCCCCCCCCCCCCCCCCCCCCGCCCCCCCCCCCCCCCCCCCCCCCCCCCCCCCCGCCCCCCCCCCCCCCCCCCCCCCCCCCCCCCCCCCCCCCCCCCUCCCCCCCCCCCCCCCCCCCCCCCCCUCUAUAUAUAUAUAUAUAUAUAUAGUUAUAUAGUAUAGGCUACUAUAACAUUAAUAGUACAAACGUUGGUUGCUAUUAGGUUUCGGCGCUUGAAUGAAGGGAUGUGGAUUAAGAUUGUGAUUAGUCCCCGACGUUAUGACGAUAUUUGCUUUGCUAGCUUGUGAUAGGUGAUUAGUUGAAAUAGUAUGAUUUCAACAGUCUGAAAGAACUGGUCAGAAAGUAGAUCCUAAUAGCGGAAAACUCGAUUAGUUAUAAAGCGCUCGGUACUAUCGAUGUACCUAGUAGCGAGGACUCUCUCUCUCCUCCUCUCUCUCUUCUCUCUCUCUCUUCCCUCCCAUAAUAUUAUAAUAUAUAUAUAUAUAUAUAUAUAUUAUAUAUAUUAUUAUAAUAUAUAUAUAUAUAUAUAAAGGCUGAUGUUCUCUUAGGAGCACGGAGCACGGAGGCCUCCGUGCUCUUAAGCCAUUUUCAAUGAUCGAAUUUUCGAACCGACGGUAGGCUCCGUUAAACUUAAUCUGGCAUAUUUGAAGUAUCUAGAAAAUAAAUUUUACAAAUUUCGAUAUCAUUUACCUAGCGAUUGAAAAGUUUCAAAAUCAACGGCCGAAAAUAAAAAUCGAACAAAAAGUGGUGAUUUCAUACUAAAAUUUUCAAUUAGAUAUAUUGAUCUUACUGUAAAGAGUAUAUAGAAUUUUCUAUCAAAAUUUUAUAUCGUUUGAAUACUUCUACACUGUUAAACAUGAAAAUGAUAGACAUCAAUCAUUAAAAAUUAUUGAUUUUGAACUGUCACGCCCCGAAUUACUCGAUUCCCCGGGCACGCUAAUAGACCCGCCGUAUACAAAGAAAUUUUUCUUAUAUACGAAACGAUAGCUGUACCUGUACCUGUAGUCAUACAACACGACAACCUGUACUAUAGAGCUGCUAAAAAGAAAACAUAUAUAAAUAACAUCGGUUCAAAUACAUACAUAGUAUUUAGAUACAAAAAUCACUCGCUCCAACGAGGAACUAACAUUAGUAUGUAUAAGAACUCAAAACCAAAACUACCUAAAGCUGGUAUAUCUGUAGAUCAGCAGCAAAACGGGAAAGGUUCUAGCUCGCGACUCCCUUUCCACGAUCUGAAUCCGCAACAGCAGCAGCCGAAGAAGAAGGCUCUGCAAAAGGGUUUCACAACUGGGUGUGAUAACUACUGCAAAAAGAAGUAGUCCUCAGUGGGUACCGCUACCGACCUCAACGGCUCACCCACUAAGUCUACAGAUGUAUGCACAAAGAUAGUAAAGAAAGCUGAAAAAACUCUACAGCUCUAUGCUACCAUACUAUCACUAAUCAACAAUCUGUAGGUAUGAUAAUGCACUGUCUAACCCAGAUCUCACUAGGGACUGUGAACACACCCGUCCCGCUUGUCGAAGCAACACUGACAGCCACCACGCUGGGUCGUCAGUGGAGAGCAAGUCCAACCAGGACAAGCCAACAACAACGCAAAAGUACUAAGCCCGACUCCGGAGUGGCACUCGUGGGCGCUAUCCAACCAAGUAUGCAAGUGUAUCUCUGCCGAGCUCAAUCAGGCUCUCACAGGUUAUAGUCAAAGCAAAAAGGGUCUAACAGGUCAAACGAUCAUACAAAACAUGCCCUCGGCACAAUCUGAUGCAAAAACAAUAAACCGAGUCCACCAUCAACUACAACGGUACCCAACAGUCCGGAACAGUCUAUACACUACUGUAAAAAUAAGCUCGGUAUUCCAGCACGAGCGUAAAUGCAUUCUACACUAUUCUGGGUAUCCACCGUUCACAAACUGCGGCGAUACAAACAAACUGCGGCUCCCAGAGCUAAAUCUGGUAGUUUCAGAAAAUGACGGUAUUGAAUCGAUAGUUUUCUUCUAAGUCAAUUCCAAGUCCAACAUGUAUAAUUUAUCUAAAUCACUACUCUAUACUCCAAAUUCAAAUUUCAAUUAACAUGCAAAUCAACGAAUUCGAGCAAAUUAACAUGAUAUACAAAGAUCAAAAUACAUGCUGACAUCAACUAGGCUUAGGAGGAAAUCUGUAGUAUCCGAUAAGCAUAUCAUUAACCCACAUCUAGCGCGAGUCCGACCAAGCUAGUAGUCGUGAAGUCGCUCGGAGAACUCGACAGUGAUCAACCACGAACCAGCAACAACAUUCAUCAAAGAUCUAACACAAGAGUACCAAAUUGUAUCAAUACCCUCAAAUUCCAGCACUAAAGCUUAAUUCCUCUAAUUCCAAUGUCAAAACUCACAUUUCGAACUUCAAACCCACAAUUCGGUGAAGAACAUUCUCAAAACCAGUAGGGAAUGAUGGAGCAACCUCCUCUGGUCGAAAUUCCAGAUUCCUCAAAGAUUUGGUCCAAGAAAACCACAAAAAUUCAAGUUUCAGCUCCAAUACAGCAGCAGUUCAGAAAAACAACAAAUUAACCUUACUAAUCUCAAUCAAUUUUCGUCAAAUUAGCACCACGAAACCUUCAAGAAGUCUACUAACCACCAAACUAAGUUUCGCAGCAAUCCGACCUUCCUACGUCGCACACCAGCCAAAACGCCGAAGGUCACUGCUGGAAUUCUGCUGGAGUUGCAAUCCUCAAAGUGGAAUUGUGCAAUUAGGAGAGUUUAGAGGGGCUAAACUGCAAAAAUAGGGCUUCUCUGUGAAGGGGGUGAAAAAGCUUCUUAGGAGGUCGAACACAAGCUUUUAUAAAGAGAUAAAAGGAUAAGAAAAACCUCAGGAAUAGGAAAGACUAACCUGUUGUUUCUGCAGAAACGAGCACUUUCGGCAGCCCGAAACUCACUUCUGGGCGUCCGAAACCUCCAAGCCAAACAAAGCUCCCUCUUUGGUUCCUCCACUUGCAGUAUGGUAUGCCCUUAACGUGGUCCGGUGUACCUUACCUACCACCAAACACGUGUCAACGCAAUCGAUAUUUCCAAAGUAAACAUUCGGGCCCACUUCCGGGUGUCCGAAACCAGCAUUCGAAUUGGCUUCUAGUUUCAGCUCAGUUCAGCACUCAGUUUUGGGCGACCCAAACCAAGGUCUAGGCGCCCGAAACUGGCAAAACUCCAGUUUUACUUAUUUGAGUACGCCUAGUUCGUUUCUGCAUCUAUUUUGUGCAAAAAUGACUCCGAUUCAAUCCAACACUCUCCAGAUGUGUCGACCAAUCACUAAUACUGUAGCCAAUCCGAUACAAAACUCCCAGGAUACUACAUGAACUCUUUCGAUCUAUAGGUAAUGAUAUCAAAUUAUCACAAAAUUUAUUUUCUAGAUAAUUUAAAUACAAUAGAUCAAGUUUAACAAAGCCGAUCGUCGAUUCAAAAAUUCAAUCAUCGAAAACGGCUUAGGAGCAUAGAGGUCUCCAUGCACCAAAGAGCACAGUAUAUAUAUAUAUAUACAGGGUCCGGCUGGUGUACUAUUAUGAGUACGAUCGCCCUCGUACUCAUAAGUUGUUUUCGAUGAUAGAGCUCCCGAAUCGAUGAUCCACACCGUUAAACGUUAUUUACAGCAUUUAAAACUUCUAGAAAUCAAAUUUUAUAAUUUUUCGACAUCAUUUACCUUACGAUCAAGAGGUCACAAAUUUGAUAAUUUUUAACGGCCGGUAUGGGAUACUUGCUAGUUUAACGGUGUAAAAGAAUCGGAAUUUGUUGAAUUUUUGAUAAAAAAUUCUAUUCACUACAUAGAUAAAGAUCAAUACCUCCGAUCUUGAAUUGAAGGAUCCGAUCACCCUUGUUUAGAACGUCGUUCGAUUUUGACCGUUCAUUUUAUGCCCACUUGAUGGACUUUAUUAUGAAUUUCGAAAAUUUACGAAAUUUAUUUUCUAGAAGUUUCAAAUAGUCUAGAUUAUAUUUAAUGGAGUGGAUCGUCGAUUCGGAAGCUCCAUCAUUGAAAACAACUUAUGAGUACGAGGUCUCCAAUACUCAUAAUAGUAUAGUAGCCAUAGCCUAUAUAUAUAUAUAUAUAGUAUAAUAUAUAUUAUAUGGGCAAUUUUUUUAUAUAUCCUGAAAGUUUCCGACUUUUCGAUUUACCCCCCUCUUAGAAGCUAAUAUUGAAAAUACCCAUCCUACGUCCACAUAUUUCAAUAUACCUUUAGAGUUACAUCUAUUAAGUAACACUGUUAUCUCGUAAAAUCACUAUUUUGCCCCUUUCAAAUAUAACCCUUCCACCAUCAUUGUCUUUUCUUAUUGCCCUAAAGUCAGGGCACAAAAAAAUUUCAACUUUUGUCUUUUCGCAAUAUAUCCCCUCUACCGUAACCAACAUUUCUUAAUUUGCCCUUAAGUUAAGGCAAAAUUGGCAUUUUAAUUUCCUUUUAACUGUGAUAGAAUAUUUAACUCGCGUUUAACUAAGGUUAACUUAACAGAAGAUAACUACGGGGGUAUUUUGCAAUAACCGGUGGAACAUAUGGGGGAUUUUAGAAAGAAAAAAAAAAAUAGGGUAGAUCGAUAUUUCGCGACGCAUGAGGGUAUAUAGGCAAUUAUCCCUAUCCCUAUAUAUUUAUAUAUAAUAUAUUAUAUAUAUAUAUAUAUAUAUAUAUAUAUAUAUAGUCCAGCUAUGCAUACUUGUAAAAGCACAAGCACUUGGUGCUUGUAAAUUUUUUACCGUUAGAUGCUACGUCUUUGAUCAUUUUUACCCGUUAGAUCAUACUAUUAAACAACCACCCACCUCAACCCUAGGGGCCUACAUCAUCCUAACCGCGCAUUCCUUAAUCCAAUGGCCGAAACUUACAACACAAUGACUUGGUAUCUUUAAAAGUAUAGGAGCUCAAUUAAUAUAUAUAUGCUAGGCUGGUACACCUAUCGUAGCACGGAGGCCUCCAUGCUACCAAUUGUUUCAAAUUGACAAUUUAACGGUAGAUGUGAUGCGUUUGUGAAUUUAACGGUGUAAAACAAUCUAAUCUGAUGAAAUUUUAUAAAUUUUUUUUCACUAUUUAGAGCAGGAUCAGUACUUUUGAUCUUAAAUUCAAGUAUUUUAUCAUCAUUUUUAUGAGAUUUUUAUUUUCAACCGUUUUUUUAGACUACUCGUUUGAUAGGUAAAUGAUGCCAAAAAAUUAAAAUUUAGUUUCCAAAUACUUUUAAUGGUGUAGAUCAAGUCUAAUGGAGCCGAUCAUCGAUGGAAGCCGCAACAUUGAAACAACUUGUAGUAUACCCAACCUAGCUCUCUCUCUCUAUAUAUAUAUAGCUCUAUAUUAUACCAACAGCUCUAUAUAUAUAAUAUAUAUAUAUAUAAUAUAUAUUAAUAUAUAUAUCCAAUAUCAUAUUAUAUAAUUCAUAUCAUAAUAAUAUAUAAACUAUAUCUAUAUAUAAUAUAAUGCUCCGACAUAUGAAUACUGUGUACAGAACAAAGAUUGAGUGACUUGUAUAAUUUUUUAUACCCAGUUAAGAUCUACGAUCUUUAUCAUUUAUUAAUACGUUAGAUGCAUACUUAUUAAAACAGACACUCAUAACCUAGGGAGCCUACAAUCCUCCUAACCGCGAAAUUCUUAUCAAAGCGCGAAAACUAAAAGCAACCAAUGAUUAGUACUUUUAAAAGUUAUAAGGAGAAUCAUUACAUAUAUAUAUUAAGAAACUACGAAGCAUGUAACAAACAUCCGGAAUAGCAAACCACGAGAACGGCCUCCAUGGCUACCCAGAUGUUUUCAAAUUGACAUUUUAACGGUAGAUAGUGAUGCGUUUGGUGAAUUUAACGGUGUAAAACAAUCUAAUUGAUGAUACAAUUUUUGUAUAAAUUUUUUUUCACUAAUUAGAGCAGGAUCAGUACUUUUGAUCUUAAAAUUCAAGUAUUUAUCAAAUUAUUUUUAUGAAGAUUUUUAUUUUCAAGUUCUUUAUUUAGACUACCGUGUUGAAGGUAAAUGAGUCAAAAAUUAACUUUUAGUUUCCAAAAUACUUUUAAUGGUGUAGAAUAAGUCUAAUGAGCAUCAUCAUUUGGAAGCCGAAACAUUGAAACAACUUCGGUAGAUAAUACCCAACCUAGCUACUCUCUCUUAUAUAUAUUAGGCUCUAUAUUAUACCAACUAGCAUCUAUAUAAAAUAUAAUAUAUACUAUAAUAAUAUAUAUAUAUAUAUAUAUAUAUACUGUCACGUCCCGGAUUACCACGUUUCCAACCUAGCUCUAUAUAUUUAUAUAUACUGUCACACCUCGGAUUACCACGUUUGCCCGAGCACGCCAACAAUCCCGCUAUAUACAUAGGAAUUUUCUGUGUAUACGAAACGAAAGCUGUACUUGUAAGCAAGUUUUAGCUACAACCAAAAGUAUCGAGCUGCUAGAACUAAAACAUAUCUAAAAUAGAAAGGUUUCACUGUAUGUCCACCAACACCUCGCUCCAACGAGUAACACCAGCAUAUAUAACCGUAUGUACAUAAACGAAACCGAAAAAUCUACCUUUGAAGGGCACUCUGCUAGCACGGCGACCACGGGUGACAAGGAUCUAGCUCGUGACUCCCUUCCCACGGUCGGAAUCAGCAACAGCAGCAGCCGCAGACGAGGGCUCUUUUAAAAAGGUGUCAUCAACUGGGUGUAAGAACUAUUGCAAAACAGAGUAGUCCUCAGUGGGUACCGUCACCGACCUCAACGGCCCACCCACUAAGUCUACAGUAAUGAUAUGCACAGGUUAGUAAGGAAUGCUAAAAAACUCUAUAUGCACAGGUUAGUAAGGAAUGCUAAAAAACUCUAUAGCUACAUGCCUCUAUACUAUUACUACUAAAACCAACUAACUGUAGACAUAGCAUGCAUCACUAGCUACCACUGACCCAAUCUCUUACGGGCUGCCCAAACGGACCCACCCCGCCUGUAACCAAGCUACACCGUACACCACCCAUGGGGAUGGCUGGUCCAAGAAAACGGUCCAAAUAGGACGGCUGCGAUAUCAACGCAUGUCAAAGCCUCACUCCGGAGCGGCACUCGUGGGAGUGACCCAACCGAAUAUGCAAGCGUGUCUCUGCCGAGCUCAAACAGGCUCUCACAGACUAUAGUCAAUGCAAACGGGUCAAACUGGUCUAACAACCAAAGCUCACGUCCCCUUGGCAUAAUCUGAUGCAAGAUACAGAAAUCUCGGUCCACCGUCAACCACGACGGCACCCGACUAUACGGAACAGUCUGCACACUACUGUAACACAAGCUCGGACCCUCAGUACGAGCGUAAACUCACCCUACACUAAUCUGAGUAUCCAGUACGUACUAACAGCGGGGAUACAAAAUGAUCACAGCUCCUGAAGCUAAAUCUGGUAACUUUUUAGAAAAUGACAGUGUAGGUUUAUCGAGUUUUCUCCUAAGUCAAUUCCAGGUUCAGCAUUAGAAAUUAUCGAAAUUCUUCAAUCAUGCUCCAAAACUCAGAAUUCAUAAAACAUGCAAAUUCCUGAAUUUGAGCUACUAAUAUGAUAACUAAAGCAAAAACCACAUGUUGACAAUACUACGACUUAGGAGGAAAUCCGACGAUUUUGGUAAACAUCAACCCACCUAGAUCGCUCGUCCAACAUUGGCAAGAAGUCGAAAGGAGAAACUAUGCGCGCUCGCUCGACCUCCAACGGUUCACCCGAGAUGACCCAUGUGCACGAACGGUCCUCCUAGCUAGCGAAGACUCCGCACGAGCUCGACCCUCGACUUCCGAAUGAGCGGCGUACACAAGCUAGAGAGAGAGAGAGGGAGGAGGAGAAGCUAUCUAAGUUCCCAAGCUUCUCAUGUAGAUAAAUAUGCUGAGGGUAGGUGGCGAUACAAUCCACAACCAAAAAGACCAAAAUACCUCUUACCAACUCAAAUCUGCCUCUGGGGUACCAGUACUCAACUUGAAUACCGGUACUCAGCCCUCUCUCCAUAAUCUCGUGUGCUGGGUACCGGUACCAGCCCGAUGCGGUACUAGUACUCAAGUUCGGUACCGGUACUCAACAACAGGUACCGGUACUCAGCAUCAAUCAUGCACAAACCCGAGAGCAUCAGUUCAGCAAUCUCACUGAGGUACCGGUACUUCUCCCCAGGUAUCGGUACUCAAUACUGAAAUCCUGCACUGUAGAUUUUAGUGUUAGAACUCCACUUUCGCUUUGCGCUGAGUCCAUUUUGCGUCCAAUUCCCAGCAAAACGACUUCGACUUGUCCCGACACCCACCAGACGUGUUAACAAGUCUCAGAUGCUGAAGUCGCUCAAACUACUAAAUACCAGGGACAUUACAUAUACAUAUGUAUUUAUACAUAUAUGUAUAUAUGUACAUAUAUGUGUAUAUAUAUACAUAUAUAUAUACACACACAUAUAUAGAGAGAAAGAGAGAGACAGAGUUGAGCUGGAAUACUAUCGGUGACAAACAGGCUCCAUUGCCGCAAUUUGUUUUCGAUAAUGGAGCCUCCAAAUUGACAAUCGGCACUGUUAAACAUGAUCUAUACUACUUGAAAUAUCUAGAAACCAAAUUACAGGUUUUUCUAAUAUUGUUCUCUUGUCCAUCAAGUGGACACAAAAAUGAACGGCUAAGAAUAAAUAUCCUUUAAAAAGUGACGAUAGGAAUCUUGAUAUCAAGAUCAAAAGUAUUGAUCUUGUUCUAAAUAGUUUUAAAAAUUUUCUAACCAAAAUUCAAUUGAUUUGUAUACUUUUACACCGUUAAAGUGAAAACACCUCAUAUCGACCAUUAAAAUUAUAAAUUUUGUAACCUUUUGAUCAUUAGGUCAAUGAUGUCAAAAAAAUUUAAAAUUUGGUUUCUAGAUACUUCAAGUGGUAUAGAUCAUUCUCAACAGUGUCGAUCGUCGAUUUGGAGGCUCUAUUAUCGAAAACGAAUGGGUGGCAACAGAGCCCGUUUGCUACCGAUAGUAUUCCAGCUCAACUCUAUAUAUAUAUACAUAUAUAUAUACAUAGAACUAUGCUGGAAUAGUAUUAAUAGCACCAAGCUAUUUGUACUAUUAGUUUUUUAACCCUUAAAUUGAGAAAUGUGUGGUUUGGAUGAUAAAGGUCCCCUAGGUUUGAGUAGGUUGUUGGUUGAAUAGUAUAAUCUAACGGAUGAAAAUAGUCAAAGGAGUAGAUUUAAUAGACGAAAAUUUAAGAGUAUAAACGCACUCAACUUUAUGCAACCAAAUAAAUUAUUUAUAAUUGUAGCAUUUUUUACCGUAUUCAUCCAAACAAGAUAUAUAUAAUUAUAAUUAUCAUACCUCCGACUACAUUAUAUUUCUAAUUACACCAACCAAACAGCCCCUUAACUUGGCCGUAGUUCUAAUUAUAACAUUGAAAAGAGUCGUUUUAAAUAAAAGAUAAGCUUGCUUGUCUAAUCACAUUUUAAAAACAAUUUUUUUUCUUUCUUACGCUGGAAGUUUUAUCACCACCACAUAAUAUAUAUAUAUAUAGAGUAAUGAAAUUUUAAAAAUAAAUUUCUCAACUAUGUACAGCUAAACAAAUAAUUUGUAUUUGCAGUAUUUUCUACUACAUCCAACGAAACAAAAUGUAUAUAGUUAUAACUAUCAUAUUUUCAAUUCAUGUAUUUUCAAGUAUAUUGUGUUUUUAAUUGCAUCCAAUCACGCAGUCCUUAAAUUCAAUUAGAUUGUCAGAUUUAAGCAAUAUUUGAGUUUUUUAUAUAUAUAUUUUCAGGAAAGAGUUUGAAGUUAAUAUUAACUAAGAGAGCUCAAAUGAGUAUAGUGUAAACCUAGUGUACACACUUUUCUAGCAGUAUAUUCACAUUAGCUAAGUAAUUAAGAAUUUACUAUUAUUUUAACUCCUGAUAAUGAGGAUCGCAGAGCACAACAAUAAUAACACACUACUUAAAAAAUAUAACUAUUGCGCUUUAAGUCAUCUAACGACUAAUGUUAAUAAAUAAAAUGAAAUUAGGGUGACAGUAUAUGCAUAAAUAGGUUAAUUUCAUACAACUCAUUGAAAACAUAGUGAAUAACAAACAUAUCACUACAAAAUUCAACAUUCAUAUAUUUUCCCUACAAAAAUUUUGAAUGUUUUCAAAUAUAUCCCUAUUAUUAGAAUCCGUUAAAAAAAUUUAAUUAACUAUAGGUUAAAUACUAAACACUGAUUAAUUUUUGAUAUUUUACCCAUUUAUAUUAUACUGCUAUACCUCUUGGAUGAAUAUAUUUAUGAUGGCAAAAUUAAAAAUAUAAACAGUUUUUUAAUGGUUCUUUAACGGUAACAAAUCAGAGAAAUAUAUUUGAAAAUAUCAGGAUUUAUACAAGAACAACAUACGAAAGUUGAAUUUUAUAGAAAUAUAUUUGUCAUUCAUUAUGUUUGCAAGAAUCUGUAUAAUUUUAUUUAUUUAUUUUUUUUGGAGAGAUGAAUCUGUAUGAAAUUAAUCCGAUAUAAAUAUAUUGUUAUAUUUUCUGAUGGAAUUAUAGAAAAAAUAUAAUAAACGGGCUUUUACAAUAUGCGCAGAAUGUGAUAUUAUAUAUAGAAAUAUAAACAAUAUUUUUUUAUUAUAUUUCUUUUACCCGACGUAACACAAGCACUCCGCAAUUCGAAAUAAAACCUUAAAAAAGUUUAGUAGAAAGCACUUCUAUUUAAUUAGUACAANGUUUUAUCAAAAUGAGAGUUUUCGUUCUUAGCUAUUCGUGCGUUGCGAAACUACUCGUGUUCCGUGCUUGUGACCUGGGGUAGGAUGAAGAAUAUUUCGAGUCCCUACUAGUGGUAGGGAAGUCAAGUUCUAUAGUGAAAGUUGGUUUAAUGGGUUUACACAUAGGUAUAUGUGCGAUUUAUGGAUUAGUUAGAGAGCGGAUAGGUUCCGUCGCGAAUCCGUGACCAAAUCUGACGAAACAAGAUAGUAGUUUUGAUGCCUCCGACGUGCUGAACGCAAUGGUGCCGUCGGAUCGAAAAUCCGAUAGACGGAUCUCCGGGAAUUGCGAGAUGUCCGCUAAGGGGUCGAAUUUUGGCAAAACGGAUAAUCCGCGAAAAGCGCGGCAUUUUAUGUACCGAAUCGCGAGAGAUCGGACGUGGAGGUAUGUACGCGCAAGUUGCAUGUCCUGGCAGGGGCUGAACCUUAAAUAUUUUGUGUUGCAGGGGUUUUCUGCAACUGUCCACUUGUAUAUAUAUUGGUAGUUAGGGUUUUUGGGCACGAAACCCUAGAUCGAGUCACCUUCCUCGCCCAGCAAACCCUAGAUGACUUCAACCCAUCCCUGCCCUCGUCGUGCUCGCGCCCCAGUCGCCGGCAAGCGACCCCGGCCGUGGGAAAAGCCAAGGUUCCCCUCUCCUUUCCCCUCGGCCAGCCCUCCUCCCUACCGAGGUGACCUGGAAAGCUGUCAUUAACCCUCCUGGAGGUUUCCCUCGGCAGAGGCCGCUCUCCGGCAACGACCUCGGCCGUCCCUGCCAUCAGCACGCACCGCCGGCCGCUGCUCCUGCUAUUGCGGCCAGCCCGAGCAAGAUCUGGCCGUAGGUGGCCAGAUCUCUCUCCCUUGCGCCGCCGUCGCUUGGGAUGGGCUGCGCCGCCCUUCCAGGCCGCCGACGAUCCCUCACCGACGGUAUCCGACGUCCUUGCGCGCCGCCGGCGCCGUCGAGACCUUCUGCGGCAAUCUGCUGCAGCUCGGGCCGAGUUCGAGUCAGCUCGUGGCCGCGAGCUGCAGCCGCCUCGAGGCGGGCCGCCCCGCCUCCCGCUGCCGCCGGCGACCUCCCGCUUGUGUUUCCCGACGUCCCCGACCACCGCCGGCCGCCGCCCGAAGCUCCUGCAGCCGCCCAGACUUGGUGCGGGCCGAGGCUAGGCUUCCCUCCAAUCCGCGCGUCGCCGCCGCCCACAGCGGGGAGCACCACCCUCCCCACGGCCUCCGGCGAUGGAUCGCCGUCGCCCCGACCUCCUCCGGCCGCCGCCGCGCCGCCGGGAACACAUGGAACCCGAGAGCAAGCCGCGGCUUGAUCUCCUCCGCCACGCCACUGGCCGCCUCCCGCCGCCGGCCAGCAGGUUCCCCGGACCCCUCGGACCAGCUGCUCCCAUCUCCGGCCGAAGCGCUCGCCGUCCGGCCGCCGCCGGCCAGCCCUAGCACUGCCCUGGCCGGUAAGCAACGUUUUUGCUGUCCUGUACAUGAUUUCCUGUUCUAGUCACUUUUCCGGCGACCCGAGGCUGUUCCGAUGCCUCCGGGGGUGAGCACGGUGAUGGUCUGUCAGUCCUGAUCGCAGUGCUCACCUCACUUAGGGUCAUAGAGCUCCGGAUGAGUUAGUUACAUGUGUUUUAGUUUCAGUGCGCGCAGUUUACUGAAUUUCGCGUCGCUCGUGCGCUCCCCACAGUGGCCGGAAUUGCUCCGAAAGGUGAGCACGGCCUCCGGCACGCCGAGACCUGUCAGUAGGUGUCUCGGUUUGGCUGAAUGACUCCUAGUUUGUGUAGACGGACCAUAAAAGCGCCGAAAUCGCAUGAAAUAAUGCGAUUUCGGGUAAUCGGGAGGGAUUUUAUGUAUUUUGAGUUGUUGCGGCUGCUGUUGGCAGCAUGGAUGAAUUGUGGGUGACCUCUGGACUGAUUGUCCAAGGCCCCGGACCUUUGCAAAGAUCGGAAAUGUAUUUCCGGUGUGUUUGUCGGCAAAAUCCGCCGACGGAACGCGGUUUUGGCUCGGAAUUAUUCCGACGGUGCUUCGUGAGCUAUUGUGUAGUCGCUGAGCCUUAUUGGCUGGUCACCCGUGUCAUUUCGAGGGUUCGGAAAUGACGGGUGAGCGACGGUGGGUUCCGGUGUCGAAAUAGACACUUCCGGGAACCCGGAUCGGAAUAAUUAUCCGACGAUAAUCGUUUCGAUGUGAGGCUAGGUGUUUGCUGCCAUGAUGCACGAUUUCUUAUGUUUAGUGGCAGCGGAUGACUCGUAGCACGAGUCGGUACGUUCCGGGACAGUUCGUGGGUCCCGACGGAGUCCCGGUGCGAUUUCGGGACUUCCGGCGAGUUACGAUAGUUGGUUUUAGGAAACCGAUCAUCGUGGGUUUGUUUGUGAGGUUGUGAGAGCUAGUGGUUUGUUAUUUGUGGGUUAGACACUAACCCAGGGGACCCUCCUUAGGUCCUGUUGACGUUCUUUUGCAGUCAGGAGACAGACGCGACAGUUGUACAGGUGGGUACUUCGAUCCGACGUUGGUACAGUGGUUCACGCUCGGUGAUGGCUUCUUACCCUUGCUCUUUUGUUAUUCUCCAUGCUUAUGUUAUAUGUUGAGCCUUGCACCUCUAUUGUUUGCAUUACACCCACGUUGUUUGAUUAUACUCUACUCAGAUGUUUCCAUGCUUAGUAUCAUGUGUAGGAGUAUAGUCUAUCUGUAUGUGAUACCAUGUUUCCUUGUUGCUCUACUUAGCUAUUCUGCAUACCCUGUUUCAUAUUUAUAGUAGAGCGAUUCUGUGAUUAUCUGUGAGAUUAGCGAUCUAGUCGGUCGAUUCUAAUAUUCAGUAUUUGUGACAUGAUUGGUCAAGUUUCAUAUCCUGUACUUGUGACAUGAUUGGUCGAGUUUCAUAUCCCGUACUUGUGACAUGAUUGGUCGAGUUUCAUAUCCCGUACUUGUGACAUGAUUGGUCGAGUUUCAUACCCUAUACUUGUGACCUGGUUGGUCGAUUUGAUUACUUGAUGACCCAUGCGGUCGAUGGGCCCUGGGGGGCAGGAUUGUCGGCUGGUUGCCGACGGUUGAUCAUUGAGCAUAUUGCAUUGAUUGCCCGAUACUCGUCGCAUUUCACGAACACUGGCGGUCUGAUCCACCGCAAGGAGUGUUCUUUUCCGGAAAAGUGGUUGAAUGGUGACAACCCGUGAGCCCUAUAGAGGUUAUAUGCAUAUUAGAGCGGCAGUGGUACUGUCGGGAGGUGUUGCGGUGCGGACCUCCAGGGCAUUGGCUUGAGGUCUGCGGUGCUGACCAAGAGAGCAUUGGUUUCAGAUUGGGUACUUUUGGACUGAUUGUUCCAUUGACGCAUAUGUUUAUAGUAGCAGUCGUUGCAUGCAUACUUACAGAUCUUACUUUAUAAUUGUCUUGCUACUAUAAUAGAUAUUCAUGUAUGCUUUCUGUUCCAGUUACAGUAGUGGUAGCCAUUAUUCAGUCUAGCUCCUGCUCUCUUUCAGUUUAUUGCUACUGUAUCUAGUAUAUCUGCUCAUUACCUUAUACAUCUCUUACGUUUACUACUGUUCCUACUACAUUUUCACUGACCCUUGUUGUUACUUAGCUCUCCCUGAUCCGGUGAGUACUCCUCGCCUUCAUCGGCUUGCGGUACCCACUGGGAGGGGAGACAUGUUUUACAUGUUCUCACCUCCCCCACCAUUUUUUUCAGGUAUCGCGGGCGUUGAGUAGUGGGACGAGACGUGAGGUACGUGUAUAGCGGUCGAUAGAGCUUCCGACCCAGGUUAUUUCGAUUUAGCUAUUACCCUUUUAUUUCUGUGGAUAUAUAUAGCUUAGUCGGUUUACAUGGUUCAGUUUUGUUUUAUUAUUUGAAUAUCUAAGUUUUCAGUUGGUUUUGGAAUUGUGUUUUCUUGAAAUAAAAGGUUUUCUACCCCUCGUGGUAGCGUUUCUUAAAGAAUAAAGGUUUUCGUGUAGGGAACAGUUUUCAAAAGAAUUUUCGUGAAUUUCUAUUUAAACACUGAAUGUAAAUCUGUGAUGUGAAUGGUGAAUGUAUGAAUGUAUAAUUAUCUUCAUAUUCAUUUGGUUGUGGUUGUUUCCUGGCUAUGGUCUUGUACUUGUGCGACGCCGUGCAAAUACAGGGGAGACUCUGUCCGUGUGAACAGUGGAUUCCAUGUAUUUGUGGCGGAUCUGGCAUACCCUGGGGUCAAGUUUGCAAAAAAAAAAAAAAAAAAAUUUCAGACGCUUUUCCGCUACCUUUUUAACCUGAAGGGACCCCGGGGCGUGACAGAUUAAAGUGGUAUCAGAGCGAGGUUACAACCACAACACUAUUCACAUGUUGUUUUUGAAAAGUAAAUGAAACUGAACCAUUGGUUAGGUUGACCAAUAGGAAGACCACGGUGUAUAGGCACGUGAGUGCGGGGUUUGGACUUGUGUCCUGGGUUGCAUUCGAGUUUGGUAAACUCGAAGUGCAUGGUGUUUCUGUACGUGUUACGGUUCGCACAAGCUAGUGCCUAAGUCGGGGGUUGUGGCAGUGUACUUAUUCGGACAUCGAGUGGUGGGGCGACAUUCCCCAGGUGUUGCCAUUCCUGUCAAGUGGGGCCUUGAAGGGCCAAGUGAGAUUUUCGGGCCUAGGCGAUUGUUAUAACCGCCGACGCCCAGGCUACUCUCUCAACUUAGGACACGAGAGCUACUGCGAGUGUCUCUACGGAGAUGGUACUUAGACCUGCUAAGGUCGCAACUNGCAGAUAUCAACCAUUAAAAAUUAUAAAUUUUGAAUCAUUUCGAUCACUAGGUAAAUGAUAUAAAAAAAUCGUAAAAAUUAUUUUCUAGAAACUUCAAAUGCGCUAGAUCAAGUCUAACGGAGCCGAUCGUCGAUUUGAAAAUUCGAUCAUCGAAAACGGCUCAGGAGCCUUGCUCUCUCUCUCUCUCUCUCUCUCUCUCUCUCUCUCUCUCUCUCUCUCUAUAUAUAUAUAUAUAUAUAUAUAUAUAUAUAGAGUCCGGCUACUAUACUCUUAUGUGUACGAUCGUCUUUGUACUCAUAAGUUGUUUUUGAUGAUAGAGCUUCCGAAUUGAUGAUCCAUACCAUUAAACAUUAUCUAGAGCAUUUAAAACUUCUAAAAAUCAAAUUUUAUAAUUUUUCGAAAUCAUUUACUUUACGAUCAAAAGCUCACAAAAUUGACAAUUUUUAACGGUCGGUAUGAGAUAUUUGUUAGUUUAAUGGUGAAAAAGAAUCGGAAUAGGUUGAAUCUUUUAUAGAAAAUUUUAUUCACUACCUAAAUAAAGAUCAAUAACUCCGAUCUUAAAUUGAAGGAUCCGAUUAUCUAUUUUUAGGAUGUCGUUCGAUCUUAACCAUUCAUUUUAUACCCGCUUGAUGGACUUUAUAAUGAUUUCAAAAAAUUUCGAAAUUUAUUUUCUAGAAGUUUCAAAUACUCUAGAUCAUGUUUAACGGUGUGGUUCGUCGAUUCGAAAAUCCCAACAUCGAAAACAACUUAUGAGUACGAAGGGCUCUAUACUCAUAAGAGUAUAUAUAGUAGCCAUACUCAUAUAUAUAUAUAUAGAGUCCGGCUGGGGUACUAUCGAUAGCACCAAAGAUUUGGUGCUAUUGAGUUUUUCACCGUUAGAUUUAACCCUUUGAUUAUAUUUACCCGUUAGAUUAUACUAUUCAACCAACCACUCACUCAACCCUAGGGGGCCCACAUCAUCCUAACCACCCAUUUCUCAAUCCAAGGGCUAAAAAAUCAAUAGCACCAAUAGCUUGGUGCUAUUGAUAGUAUUCCAGCCUAAUUCUAUAUAUAUAUAUAUAUAUAUAUAUAUAUGAGUUGGUCUUGUGUGCUAUUAGGAGCACAGAACUCUCCAUGCUCUUAAGCCGUUUUUGACGAUGAAGCUUUCGAAUCGACGAAAAAUGUGGUGAUAUAGCACUAAAAUUUUAGAUCAGAGAUAUUAAUCUUGUUGUAAAUAGUAUAAAAAAUUUUCUAUUGAAAUUUCAUCUGAUUUGAAUACUUCUACACCGUUAAACUUGCAAACAGUAUACAUUAACCAUUAAAAAUUGUUGAUUUUUAUUCUUUUCGAUCACUAGGUAAAUGAUAUCGAAAAAUCAUAAAAUUUAUUUUCUAGAUACUUCAAAUACGCUGGAUCAAGUUUAACGGAGCCGAUCGUCGAUUCAAAAACUCCAUCAUUAAAAACGGCUUAGGAGCACGAAGGCCUCCUUACUCCUAAUAGCACACAAGACCAUAUAUAUAUAUAUAUAUAUAUAUAUAUAUAGAGAGAGAGAGAGAGAGAGAGAGAGAGAGAGAGAGCUAGUCUCCUAUAUUAUUUAUAGUAUUGGGGCUCCGGUACUAUAGUCUCGUUUUCGAUCUUAGGGUGUUCAAAUCAACGAUCCACACUGUUAAAACUGAUCUAGGGUAUUUAAAGUUUUUAAAAAUAAAAUUUUAUAUUUUUUUCGACAUAGUUUACUUUAUGAUCAAACCAUUUCAAAAUUGUCAAUUUUCAAUGGCUACUACGGCGAGUUUGGAGUUUAACGGUAUAGACGAAUCUAAAUUUCUUCAAAUUUUGAUAGAAAAUAAUUUAAAGUAUCUAAAUUAAGGUUAAAAUUCUUGAUCUUGAAUUUAAAAGUCCUAGACUCAAAUUUUAAAGAUUAUUCAAUUUCCACCUCCCAUUUUGAUAUAAUUUAUUUACUAAGUAAACGAUGUCAAAAAAAAUUAAAAUUUUAUUCCUAAGAACUUCAUAUAUCCUAAAUCAUAUUUAACGGUAUGGAUCAUUAAUUUGAACACCCUAAGAUCGAAAAUAAGACUUUAGUACCGGAGCUCCUGUACUAUAGGUAGUAUAGUAGCCUAAUUAUAUAUAUAUAUAUAUAUAUAUAUAUAUAUAUAUAUAUAAAGAGAGAGAGAGAGAGAGAGAGAGAGAGAGAGAGAGAGAGUCCGGCUGGGAUACUAUCGAUAGUACCACGCGCUUGGUGCUACCGAAUUUUCUACCGUUAGAUUUAUCCCUUUCAUCAUUUCUAACCGUUAAAUCAUACUAUUCAACCAACCACCCGCUCAACCCUAGGAGACAACUAUCAACUUAACCAGGGACCACUAUCAUCCUAACCGCACAUUCUUUCAUCUAAGGGCCGAAAACCUAGUAGCACCAAUGACUUGGUGCUAUUAAUAGUAUUCCAGCCAAAUUCUAUCUAUAUAUUUGUGUUCAUGUGCUGGGCUUUCAAUGUGGAGGAUUCGGGUUUAGAAUUUAGGUAAAAUAAUGAUGCUUUGGAUUUAAUAAUGAUAAUUGGGAUUAAGUAAUUAAUGAUUAGAGAGAAUAAUAAUAAUGUCAUAUCAUCAAUAACUAGUGUAGGACACGCGAUACGGCGAGUAAAAGUUUUUUUUAAAAAAAAAAGAACCCGGAGUACAAAAUGUGCACCAAGAGAUUUAUCAUUUAUCAAUCCAAAAAGAAGAGAGAAGAUGAGAUGAAAAGAAAUAGCAAUACCUAGUGAAAAUCAAACAAAUUUGAGUGCUCGAUCUCAUUGUGACAUCCAUUAAGGGCUCGAAGAGCGUGGUAUCGAAGAUGAUGGAGGCGAAACCUAGGGUUUCAACAGCAUCAUGGUGGCUUAGAAUAGAGAUGUUGUUGAUCUUAUGAUGUACUGGCUUACCUUCUUCCAAGUGAUCUUGAUGACAGCAGUCGCCUCUUGAAACGGGAGGAACAGCAGCAGAGUGCGGUGACGCUGUUGUGGGGUUUCGUCAUCAGUCAUGCAGAAUGAUCAAAGCCUUAGAAAACAAAAAAGGAAGAGGGAAGAAAAGAACGAGAUGUGGAUGGAGCAGUUGGCGACAGUAUCAACAUCGUCACCGUCCUUUGGAGAGCACGUAAUGCUAAUGAAGGCGACAGUCGAAAGGCUCCAAGUUGAGAUACGAGGAGGGAAGGAGUGGAAAUAAUAGAAUGGAGAUGAUGGUUGGAGCACCACAGCGAAUAAAAAAUAUUCAUUUGGGAGAGAAGACAAAACAACAGGUAAAGAAGAGAGCUGAAAAAUUAUUAAUUGGGAGGAAAGACAAAGUGGAUGAAAAAUAUUAAUUGAGAAGGGAAGGCGAAAAAGCAAGAUAAAAACGAGGAAAUCGAAAAAAAUAUUAAUUAGAGAAAGAAGACAAAACAGCAAAAAAAGAAGAGAAAACUGAAAAGUCGAGUUCUUUUUCUAUACAUAGAGGAGGGGAGGUAGACCCCACACCCACCGCUGAAGCUGACACUAUGUAUUAUUGAGAAUUCAUAUAUUGUUAUAAAUAUUCUAAGAUACAAGUUGGAGUACUUGUAGCAGCACUCUUUAAAAAGCGAAAAGAAAAAAAAAAGAAAAAAAAAAAGAAGAAGGUAAAGACAGGGCUUAACUACACUAUACUAGAUUGUACUUUGGUAUUAUAUUUUUUUUACUUUUUUUUUUGAAAGAUACUUUUGUAUUAUUGUAUUUUAUCAAUCUUUACACUAUAUUUUAGAUUUAUUUUUAUUUUUUUACCUUUUUGUAUUUUGUUUUCUCAUAGAUGUCACUAAAUUAUUUUUUUUCUGCCAAUAUCUAUAUUACUGUUAAUAAAUUUAUUAGUUUAGAUAAAAUCUAAAAACUUUAUUAAGAAACAGUGGGUAAAUCGUAGAAAAUAUAGAAUAAAUCUCCAUAAUAGACUGAUUAAAAUAUACUAUCAAAUUAUUUUUAAUUAUUUUUUGUUUUUUUUAUUUUUUUUUAUUUUACAUGUCAAAAUGAAUUGAAUAUAUGCGUUGCCACUUUUAACCGGUACUUUUUUAUAAUUUUUAUAUAAAAUUAUAGAUUUAUUACGCAUACUGUAGGAGUUGAAAAAAACCCAAAUAGUUGAAUGGUGUCUUUGGAGAAAAAAAAAAAAUUAUAAUAAGUGAAAAAUAAAGCUACAAACUGUAAUGUAGUAUUGUAUAAUUAACUCUAAAAUAUACCAACUAUAUAGACUCUUUUAAGUUGGCUUCUCAAUAUUUAAAAAUUUUGAAUUUUACUAUCUAUUCUUUCAGUUUAUUUGAUUUAAAUCAGUCAAUGGCACUUCAACUUAAAAAUUUGAAUAUAUCGUUUAUUUUUACAAAUUUAGUUAAUAUACUUCAUGUUAUUUUCGCAGCUAUAAAUUUGUUAAAUCCAAUAAUAGUUUACAACUUUAAAGUCCUUCAAUAUCAUUGACUAACUCAAAUCAAAUGAAUUAGCAUGUUGGGGAGUAAAAUUGAAAUUUUGAAAGAUUGAAUAGCCGAAUCAAAAUAGUCCAUAGUUUAGAUAAGUUCUAUGCGUUUCAAAAGAGUAAAGGAAAAACUUCAAAACAGUCCCAUGCUAUUUAAUCGCAUUUUGUUUUGCUACACUCUGAUUUUGUUUUCAAUUUACCGUACAGAUUUGCAGUUAAACAAGAUAGCAUAAUCUUAUAAUUUAUAAGACUACUGCAGGAAAGUAAAGUUCUAUAAUUUAUAACCCACAAUAUUUUAGAAGUUACCGUUUUAACUUUGCUCUCCUAUGGUUUAUAAAUUAUGACAUUUUUGAUAUCUUAUAUAACGGCAGAUCUUUGAACAAGUUCCAAAGGGCCGCCCAGUUUCCAAGCCCAAGCUGACCCUGACAGUAGAAAAACGGCCUUGAGAGAAGGGCCCAAGCGGGAGAGGAAAGAGGAGGGGAAGUAGUAGGAAUACAAAUAGAUCCGGAUCGGUGGAGAUCCUGUCCUAAUCCAUCCCGAAUAAGAUGGUAAGUAUAAUUCUAUAUAGUCCGGCUACUAUACUAUCAAUAGUACCAAACCCUUAGUACUAUUGAGUUUUCUACCGUUAGAUCUACCCUUUGAUCAUUUCCACCCGUUAGAUUAUACUAUUAAACCAACCACCCACUCAACCCUAGGGGACCACUAUCAAUUUAACCAAGGACCAUUAUCAUCCUAAUCGCACAUCUAUUAAUCCAAUGGCCGAAAACUCAAUAGUAUCAAGGGCUUAGUACUAUUGAUAGUAUAGUAGCAUAAUUCUAUAUAUAUAUAUAUAUGUAUAUAUAUAUAGAGAGAGAGAGAGAGAGAGAGAGAGAGAGAGAGUAGGUCUUGUGUGCUGUUAGGAGCACGGAGGCCUCCGUGCUCCUAAGCCGUUUUCGAUGAUAGAGCUUGUGAAUCGACGAUCAGCUCCUUUAGACUUGAUAUAGCGUAUUUGAAGUAUCUAGAAAAUAAAUUUUGCGAUUUUUCGAUAUGAAAUACCUAGCGAUCGAAAGGGUUCGAAAUCAACGGCUGAAAAUAAAAAUCUCACAGAAAGUGGUGAUAUACCACUAAAAUUUUCAAUCAAAGAUAUUGACCUUGCAGUAAAUAAUAUAAAAAAAAUUUUAUCAAAAUUUUAUCUGAUUUGAAUAUUUUUACACCAUUAAACUUGCAAACGAUAUAUAUCAACCAUUAAAAAUUAUUGAUUUUGAACCCUUUUGAUCGCUAGGUAAAUAAUAUCGAAAAAUCACAAAAUUUAUUUUCUAGAUACCUUCAAAUAUGCUAGAUCAAGUCUAACGAAGCCGAUCGUCGAUUCGAAAACUCCAUCAUCGAAAACCGCUUAAGAGCACGAAGGCCUCCGCGCUCCUAAUAGCACACAAGACCUCUCUCUCUCUCUCUCUCUCUCUCUCUCUCUCUCUCUCUCUUUAUAUAUAUAUAUAUAUAUAUAUAUAUAUAUAUAUAUAUAUAUAGAGUUGAGCUGGAAUACUAUCGAUAGCAAACGGGCUCCGUUGCCACCCAUUUGUUUUCGAUGAUGGAGCCUCAAAAUAGACGAUCGGUACCGUUGAAAAUGAUCUAUACCACUUGAAGUAUUUAGACAUCAAAUUUCAUGCUUUUUCGAUAUUAUUCUCUUGUUCAUCGAGUGAAAAUGAACGACUGAAAAUAAAUAUCCUCUAAAAAGUGAUGAUAGGAAUUUUGUAAUCAAGAUCGAGAGUAUAAAUCUUAUUCUAAAUAGUUUAAAGAAUUUUCUAAAACUAAAAAUUCAAUUGAUUUGGAUAGCUUUGCACCGUUAAAAAGAAAACGUCUCAUAUAGAGCUUAUUAUAAAUUACAAAUUUUGAAACCCUUUGAUCAUUAGUCAAUAAUAGAACAGAUUUGAAAUUUUAUUUCGUAAAUACUUCAAGUGGCAUAGAUCAUGUUCAAUGUGCCCGAUCCGUCGAUUUGACGGCUCCAUCAUCGGAAAAAAAAUAGGUGGUCAACAAGGCAUGUUUGCUACUAAUACGUCGGUAGCAUUCCAGCUCAAACUUCUCUAAGCCAGACGUCUUUUUCUCUCUCAUCUCUCUCUCCUCUCUCUCUCUCUCUCUAUAUAUAUAUUACUAUUAUAUAUAAAUAGAGAGGAGAGAGAGAGAGAAGAUAGAGAGAGAUGAGAGAGUCCAGCUACAAUGCUAUCGAUAGCAACCAAGUAUUUACACCAAGUAUUAGUGCUAUCAAGUUUUCUGCCUUUAGAUCAACCCUUUGACCAUUUUCAUCCGUAGAUCAUAACCUAUUGCAACCAACCACAUCCACUCAACGCCUAGGGGAAUCCACUAUCAAUCCUAACCUACUCGCUUCAAUCAAAGAGCCGAAAAUUUAAUUAGCACCAAUACUUAUGUGGUUUUAGAUAAGGUAUUCUACCUAAGUUAUAUAUAUAUGUAUAUAUACAUGAUUCAUAUACAUAUAUAUAUGUAUAUAUAAUAUAUAUAUAUUAUAUAUAUAUGUAUAUAUAUACAUAUAUUACAUUAUAUAUGUAUAUAUGUAUAUAUAUAUAUAGAAUGAGCUCCUAUGCUUUUAAAAGUAGCCAGUGAUUGGUGCUUUGGUAAGUUUUCGAGCCCUUGGAUUAUAGGGAUUGUGAGGUUAGGCAUGUAUGUGGGCCCCCUAGAGUUGAAUGGUGGUUUGGUUAAUAGUAUAAUCUACGGAUAAAAAUGAUGCAAGGUUAUGAUCUAAUGGUAAAAACAAUUACAAGACCAAGUGCUACUGUGCUUUUACAUAGCACCAUAGGCCGGACUUUAUAUAUUAUAUAUAUAUUAUAUAAUAUAUAUAUAUAUAUAUAUAUAUAUAUAUAUAUAUAUAUAUAGUAUGUCUUGUGUGCUAUUAGGAGCACGGAGGCCUCCGUGCUCCUAAGCCGUUUCGAUGAUGGAGCUUCCGAAUCGACGAUCGGCUCCAUUAGACUUGAUCUAGUAUAUUUGAAGUAUCUAGAAAAUAAAUUUUAUGACUUUUCGAUAUCAUUUACCUAAGAAUCGAAAGUGUUCAAAAUCAACGGCUAAAAAUAAAAAUCUCACAAAAAGUGUUGAUAUAGCAUUAAAAUUUUCGAUCAAACAUAUUGAUCUUGCUGUAAAUAGUAUAAAGAAUUUUCUAUCAAAAUUUCAUCUGAUUUGAAUACUUCUACACCGUUAAACUUGCAAAUGGUAUACAUCAACCAUUAAAAAUUGUUGAUUUUGAAACCCUUCGAUUGCUAGGAAAAUGAUACCGAAAAAGCACAAAAAUUAUUUUCUAGAUAGUUCAAAUACGCUAGAUCAAGUCUAACGGAGCCGAUCGUCGAUUCGGAAGCUCCAUCAUCGAAUACAGAUUAGGAGCAUGGAGGCCUCCGUGCUCCUAAUAGCACACAUGACCUACUAUAUAUAUNUGGUUGAUAUCUGCCAUUUUCAAGUUUAACAAUGUAGAAGUAUUCAAAUCAGAUGAAAUUUUGAUACAAAAUUCUUUAUACUAUCUACAACAAGAUUAAUAUUUCUGAUCGAAAAUUUUAGUGCUAUAUCACCACUUUUUAUAGAAUUUUUAUUUUCAGCCGUUAAAAAUUAUUGAUUUUGAAUCCUUUCGAUUGCUAGGUAAAUUAAAUCAAAAAAAUCGUAAAAAUUAUUUUCUAGAAACUUCAAAUACGCUAGAUCAAGUCUAACGGAGUCGAUCAUCGAUUCGGAAACUCCAUUAUCGAAAACGGCUCAGGAGCAUGGAGGCCUCCGUGCUCCUGAGAGCACAGCAGCCCUGCUAUAUAUAUAUAUAUAUAUAUAUAUAUAUAUAUAUAUACAACUUGGUAGCACGGAGGCCUCCGUGCUACCGAUAGUAUACCAGCCUAGCUCUCUCCUUCUCUCUCACUCUCUCUGUAAUACCCUUCAUUUUGAGUUGGUCUAGGGGCAUAGUGGUCAUUUUUUUUGGAUAAGGAUGCCACCACCCUUUUCAUGUUUAUCCCUUCAAAUUAACAGAGAGUUUGCAUUUUUUUUGCUCUCUCUAGUUAAUUACGUGCAUGGUGGAGAGCACGGGUAGAGGUAGCCGAGGAGCUCGAAUUCGACGCCGACGACGCGCCGCGAAGUCGUUCGAGGGUACGGUUGGGAUCGUAGCACUGCGAGGAAGAUAGGCGAGGGUGUAUUUUCGCCGUUCUCGACGCCGCAUCGAUGUCCAAUUAGCCUUUGAGGUGAGUGUUCCGUUGCAUUGCUUCAAGUAUUAUCAUUUCGAGCUUGGUGCUGAUUUGCAGAAUUUCCAGCGCCGACCGUCGGUAUUUCAGUUCGUACUCGGCGUAGGAGUGUCGGGUUUCGACGGGAGUUGGUUCGUUGGAUUCGAGACUUCGAGAGGAAUCCACGAAGCCCUUACUUGCUGGAUUUGGUAACGGUUUGCUAGGUCGGAAUUUCGCUCUUCUCUGUUGCUGUUUUUGGAGGCAGAGUUAAUGUUUAUUGUCGGAUUCUCCGUGUAGAGUUUAGCGGGAGCUUGACUUUGGGCCUUGGGAGGUUUUCGGACGUUUCAGCAGGUUGUUCCGUAGCCGAGGGGAGUUCCGUGCUGCCAGGGAUUAGCGAUCGAGGUGGGUUAUAUCGGUUUAUUCCUAAGUAUUAUAGUAGUCGACAUGUAUGAUUUCCUGUUUUUGUAAAUCAUGUGGUAGCUCAAUUUCGUCGAUUGUAUAAUGAAUGAAAUUAGCUUGAGAGAAUGACUUGUAACUAUAAAUAUAUAUGUUGGACUUAGAAUUAAACUUAGGAGAAAACCAGCGUUCGGGACCUGGCAUAUGUUAAACUACCUGAUUUAGCCUAGGAGCCGUUGUAUUAUUUUAUACUGUUGCAGUAUCCUCAUAGUGAGUAUUCCAGGUAGUUUAGUUUUUAGUUACGCUCGUGCUGGGAUGCCGAGUGUAUUUUUACAGUAGAGUUCAGGCUGUUCCGGACUGUUGGAUGCCGUCGGAGUUGACGGUGGACUCGUAUCGCCUUUUUGGCGUUAGAUUGUGCCGAGGGCACGUUAUCUGUUGGUUGUUAGACCAGUUAGAGUCGGUUACUUGACUUAGCCUGUGAGAGCGGUAUGAACUUGACAGAGAUACUUGUAAACUCGUUGGGUCGCGCCCACGAAUGCCAUUCCGGAAUGAGGUUUCAGUGCGAUGAGUGUCGCAGUUUCUGUUGGACAGUUCUUGAGCCGGCUACCCUCAGGGUGGUGUACGGCGCAGCUAGAUACAGGCAGAGUGGGUCCGUUUUGGGCAGCCCGGGUGAGAUAGUGAGUGACGCUUUUCCCUACCUUUGGUGAAGUUGUGACGUGAGUGGAGUCUUAGCCGUCCUGUUGGACCUUUUCUAGAACCGACUACUCUUGUGAUAUGGUGUAGUCUAAUUAGGCGAGACGGGUGUAUUCACAGUCUUUAGAGAGUUUUCUCCGCCGGUUACUCUUAAGAUACGGUGUAGUCUAGUAGAUGAGAGGGGUGCAUUCACAGUCUCUAGAGAGUCUUCUCCGCCGGUUACUCUCGAGCUACGGCGUCACCUAAUUAGACGGGAUGGAUGUAUUCACAGUCCCUAGAGAGUUUUCUCCACCAGCUACUCCUAGAGUAGGUUACGGGUUCGAUCCGACAGGCGGGACGGGUGUGUUCAUAUUCCCUAGUGAGAUUGAGUUAGUUAUGACUUUUACUACAGUUGGUUAGUGUAGAUCAUGCUAGCGUAGCGAUAUGUAGCGGUAUAUUUCUUUCUAGCUUUUCCUGCUAGCCUUGUUACCUUCUGUAGACUUAGUGGGUGGAUCGAUGAUUGUUGAGGGCGGCACCCACUGAGGACUACUUGUUUCUACAGUAGUUCUCACGCCCAGUUGUUACUCCGUUUUUGCACAGUUUUCGUCUUCGGCUGCUGCUGUUGUUGGUCAGGAGCUAGGCAAGGGNCGAAGCUCCGGUACUAUAGUCUUGUUUUCGAUUGUAGAGUGUUCAAAUUAACGAUCCACACCGUUAAAUAUGAUUUAGGGUAUAUGAAAUUCUUAGUAAUAAAAUUUUAGCUUUAUUCAACAUCGUUUAUUUAGUAAAUAAAUUAUGUCAAAAUGAACGGUGAAAAUUGAACAAUCUUUAAAAUUUGAGCAUAGGACUUCUAAAUUCAAGAUCAAGAAUGUUGACCUUGAUCUAGAUCUAGAUCUAGAUAGUUUAAAGUAUUUUCUAUCAAAAUUUGAAAAAAAUUUAGAAUCUUCUUCACCCUUAAACUCCAAACUCGCCGUAGUAGCCAUUGAAAAUUGACAAUUUUGAAAUAGUUUGAUUAUAAAGUAAACUAUGUCGAAAAAAUAUAAAAUUUUAUUUUUAAAAUCUUUAAUUAUCCUAGAUCAGUUUUAACGGUGUGGAUCGUUGAUUUGAACACCCUAAGAUCGAAAACGAGAUUAUAAUACCGGGCCCCGCUACUAUAGAUAGUAUAGGAGCCUAAUUCUAUAUAUAUAUAUAGAGUUGAGCUAGAAUACUCUCGAUAGUAAACGGGGCGUUUUACUAUCGAGUUGUUUUCAAUGAUAGAGCUUCCAAAUUGACGAUCGGNNNNNNNNNNNNNNNNNNNNNNNNNNNNNNNNNNNNNNNNNNNNNNNNNNNNNNNNNNNNNNNNNNNNNNNNNNNNNNNNNNNNNNNNNNNNNNNNNNNNNNNNNNNNNNNNNNNNNNNNNNNNNNNNNNNNNNNNNNNNNNNNNNNNNNNNNNNNNNNNNNNNNNNNNNNNNNNNNNNNNNNNNNNNNNNNNNNNNNNNNNNNNNNNNNNNNNNNNNNNNNNNNNNNNNNNNNNNNNNNNNNNNNNNNNNNNNNNNNNNNNNNNNNNNNNNNNNNNNNNNNNNNNNNNNNNNNNNNNNNNNNNNNNNNNNNNNNNNNNNNNNNNNNNNNNNNNNNNNNNNNNNNNNNNNNNNNNNNNNNNNNNNNNNNNNNNNNNNNNNNNNNNNNNNNNNNNNNNNNNNNNNNNNNNNNNNNNNNNNNNNNNNNNNNNNNNNNNNNNNNNNNNNNNNNNNNNNNNNNNNNNNNNNNNNNNNNNNNNNNNNNNNNNNNNNNNNNNNNNNNNNNNNNNNNNNNNNNNNNNNNNNNNNNNNNNNNNNNNNNNNNNNNNNNNNNNNNNNNNNNNNNNNNNNNNNNNNNNNNNNNNNNNNNNNNNNNNNNNNNNNNNNNNNNNNNNNNNNNNNNNNNNNNNNNNNNNNNNNNNNNNNNNNNNNNNNNNNNNNNNNNNNNNNNNNNNNNNNNNNNNNNNNNNNNNNNNNNNNNNNNNNNNNNNNNNNNNNNNNNNNNNNNNNNNNNNNNNNNNNNNNNNNNNNNNNNNNNNNNNNNNNNNNNNNNNNNNNNNNNNNNNNNNNNNNNNNNNNNNNNNNNNNNNNNNNNNNNNNNNNNNNNNNNNNNNNNNNNNNNNNNNNNNNNNNNNNNNNNNNNNNNNNNNNNNNNNNNNNNNNNNNNNNNNNNNNNNNNNNNNNNNNNNNNNNNNNNNNNNNNNNNNNNNNNNNNNNNNNNNNNNNNNNNNNNNNNNNNNNNNNNNNNNNNNNNNNNNNNNNNNNNNNNNNNNNNNNNNNNNNNNNNNNNNNNNNNNNNNNNNNNNNNNNNCGGAAAACAGAUUUAAUACCUGGCCCGCUACGUCCCGCGUACUUAGAUAGUAUAGAGACUGAGCUAUCUUUAUAUAUAUGUAUAUAUAUAUAUUAUAUAAAAAUAUAAUAUAUAAUAUAUAUAUAUAUAUAUAAUUAUAUGUAUAUAAUAAUAAUACUAUCGGUAGUAAACGAGCCGUUUUACUACCGAUUUGUUUCGAUGAUAGAACUUCCAAAUUGACGAUCGGCUCCAUUGAACAUGAUCUAUACCACUUGAAGUGUGUUAGAAAUCAAAUUUCAAAUUUUUUGACAUAAUUUGCUAUGAUCAAAGGUUUGCAAAAUUGUGUAAUUUAAUGGUCGAUAAAAGGUCGUUUUCUCGUUUAACGGCGUAAGAUAUCCAAAUCAAUUGAAUUUUUGUUAGAAAUUUUUUAAACAAUAUUUAAAAUAGAGAUCAAUACUCUUGAUCUUGAUUACAAACUCCUAGUCAUCAUUUUUUAAAGAGUAUUCAUUUUCAGCCGGUUCAUUUUCUGUUCACUUGAUGGAUAAAAGAACAAUAUCGAAAGUGCGUGAAUAUUGAUUUCUAGUAAUUUAAUGGUUUAGAUCAUAUUUACGGAGCCGAUCAUCAAUUGGAAGCUCUAUCAUCGAAAACAAAUCGGUAGUAAAACGGCUCGUUUACUACGAUACGUUAUUCUAGCCUCAAACUCUAUAUAUAUAUAUAUAUAUAUAGAACUAGGCUGGAAUACUAUCAAUAGCACCAAAUCCUUAGUGCUAUCGAUAGUACCCCAACCUAGUUCUCUCUCUCUCUCUCUCUCUCUCUCUCUCUCUCUCUCUCUCUCUCUCUAUAUAUAUAUAUAUAUAUAUAUAUAUAUAGUAGGGCUACUAUACUAUUAUGAGUAUUGGGCCCUUCGUAUUCAUAAGUUGUUUUCAAUGAUGGAGCUUCCGAAUCGACGAUCCACUCCGUUAAAUAUGAUCUAGAGUAUUUGAAUCUUCUCGAAAAUAAAUUUCGUAAUUUUUCGAAAUCAUAAUAAAGUCCAUCAAACGGCAUAAAAUGAACGGUCAAAAUCGAAUGAUGUCUUAAAAAUGGAUGAUCGGAUCAUUCAAUCUAAGAUCGGAGUUAUUAAUCUUUAUCUAGGUAGUGAAUAGAAUUUUCUAUCAAAAAUUCAAGCUAUUCGGAUUCUUUUGCGCUGUUAAACUAGCAAGUAUUCCAUACCGACCGUUAAAAAAUGUCAAUUUUGUGAGCUUUUAAUCGUAAGGUAAAUGAUGCCGAAAAAUUAUGAAAUUUGAUUUCUAGAUGUUUCAAAUGCUCUAGAUAACGUUUAACGGUGUGGAUCGUCGAUUCAGAAGCUCUAUCAUCGAAAACAACUUAUGAGUACGCGGGUGAUCAUACUCAUAAUUGUAUAGUAGCUGGACUAUAUAUAUAUAUAUAUAUAUAUAUAUAUAUAUAUUAUUAUACUCACUAUACUAUAUAUAAUAUAAUGGCAGCUCCUAUGCUUUUUAAACAAAAAAAAUAAAGUACAGAGUCACUUCGUGUUUUGUAAAUUUUGGCCUUGGAUUAAGGAUGUGCGGGUUUAGGAUGAGUCGGGGCCCCCGUAGGUUGAGUGGAUGAAUUGUUAAAUAGUAUAAUCUAACGGAUAAAAAUGAGCAAGCGAUGUGAUCUACGGUAAAAUAUUUACCAAGCCAUCAAGCUUGAUAUUUUUACAAGCACGAUCAAAUGACUUCCCGAUAGUAUAGUAGCGUCUACUCAUAUAUAAGAAAGAAGAGAGCAGGGCCUGCCGUGCAUCCUGGAAGCCGUUUCAGAUGACUGGAUUUCGAAUCGACGAAUCGACUCCGUUAGACUUGAUCUAAGUUAUUUUGAAGUUUCUAAAAUAAUUUUUGUGAUUUUUGAUAUCAUUUACCUAGGUGAUCGAAAAGAUUCAAAAUCAAAUAUUUUUAAAUGGUUGUAAUUUGCCGUUUUUUUAAAUUUUAAUAGUGUAGAAGUAUGUGAAAUGAUGAAAUUUUGACGACAAAAUUCUUUAUUACUUCUACACCAACAGAUCAAUUCUUUUAAUUGGAAUUUUAGUGUAUAUCAACCACUUUUUAUAGAUUUUAUUUUUCAGCCCGUUAAAAAUUAUUGAUUUGAAUUCUUUCGAUUGUACGCGUAAUGCAUUAUCGAAAAUCGCAAAAAAUUAUUUUUAGAAACGUUCAAAGUACGCUUAGAUCAAGCUCUAAACGGGAGCUGAUCGUCGAUUCGAAAAUCCGAUCAUCGAAACGGCUAGGAGCACAACGAGCCUGCUAUAUAUAUAUAAUAUAUAAUAUUAUAUUAUAUGAGAGAGAGGAGAGAUCGGGAAGACUGCGAGGUCACGAGUCUAGUGGGGGUGGAGAGAGAGACGAAGAGAGAGACGUUGAAGCUUAGAUCUCUCAAAGGCACAGAGGUUGGUGCUUUGAGUUUUUUCAAAACCCUUAGAUGGAAAAAUUGUAAAGUUUGUGAUGAUCGGUGCGGUAGAUGGUCGGUAGUGAAUUAACGUGUUUGAUCCAUGGGUAUUAGUUAAUCAAGAAUAGAUCCCCAAGGGCUAGGAAAACCUGAGAGCACAAGGGUGAUACUUCUAAAGUAUUUUUAGUUAUAUAUCUAUAUAAUCAUAUAUAUCUAUAUAUAUAUAUUAUAUGAGUAAGUCCUCAUGACUUAUUGAAAGUACGGAGACCUUUCGUACUUAUAAGUUGUUUUCCGAUGAUAGGAAAUCCGAUUCCGACGAUCGCCGCUCCUUAAAAUAUAUAAUUCACCUUAUUGGAAACAUUUAGAAAACCAAAUUUAUAAUUUUUUGACUGAUCAAUUUACCAAGGCGAUCAAAAAAGUCGUCAAAAAUGACUAUUUCAAUCGCCGAUGGCACGUUUUUAAGUUCAACGGUGUUAAGAGUAAAUCCAAUUAGAUAUGAAAAUUCAAUACGAAAAUUCUACUUAAACAUGAAUAGUCAAGCCAAUACUUCCGAUUUGAAUUUCGAGUAUUAUCACUAUGUUUAUGAGAUUGUUAUUUUUCAAGCUGUUCAUCUUUUGAGCCUAUCGUUUACUGACAAAACAAAAUCACAAAAUUAUGAAAUUUGGUUUCUAGUAGUUCCAACAGCGUUAGAUCAUGUCCUUAAACAGAAGCCGGAUCGCCGGAUCGAAUGUACCCAAUUAUUGAAAAAAACUUACAAAUACGGAGGCUCCCGCUACUCGAAGCAUAGGAGCUAUAAUAUACUACUCUAUAUAUAUAUAUAUACUAUAUAUAUUAUUAUAAUUAUAUAUUAUAUAUAUAUAUAUAUAAUAUAUAUUAUAUAUAUAUAUCACUAUAAUUUAGGCGGGGGGAGGGUGGGGGUGGGGUCAGACUACAAAAAUCGCACUACUCCGCUGUAACUUAAUUUUCAUCUAAUCCACUACUUAACACGUUCCUUAGUAUUAAAUUAAAAGUCAAUGAUAUUCAUCAUUUUAUACAUCAACCUUAACUCAUUAUUAAUAGUAAAAAACGCAUCUGGGUCUGUAUUCAAGAAUUUUACCUUUGAUUGAAAAAUGUGGAGUCAGGCAUGAAUAUAUUAGUCGGUUAGAAGUUGAGUGAUCCCGCUAGGCGUUGAGUUGGAUGGUCCUACUGGGUUAUAAUAGGUUAAUCCAAUGGUUAGAAAUAUGAAGAGUUGAUCCACAAGGCUAAAAAAACUGGUGCAACAAUAGGAUUUUUUGCUGCUAAUAGUAGCCCGCAGUCCAACUCAAUUUAUAUAUAUUAUAUAUAUAUAUAUAUAUAUAUAGUAUAUAUUAUGAUACUAUCAUAUUAAUAGCCCACUAAGUUAUUGGUGAUUAUUAGGUUUCGCCUUGGAUGAAUGAAUGUUUCCUUAGAGUAUGAUAGUGGUAUGCUAAUGUUGAGUGGGUGGUUGCGAUUGAACUAGUAUGAUAUAACAAAAGGGAAAUGAUAAAGAGAUAGUCUAAGAUCUAAUGAUUGGAAACUCUCCCUCCUCCCCCUCUCUCUCAUCCUUCCUCCCUCUCCUCUUCGUCGCGAGUCCUGAUCUUCUCUCUCCUCUAGCUCUCCGGGCCUAGGCUCCUUCUCUCUCUUUUGAUAUAUAUAUAUAUAUAUAAUAUACUAGUAUAUAUAUAAAAUUGAGCUCUAUAUAUGUUUAAAUAUACAAAGUCAUUGGUGCUUGUAAGUUUCGGCCCUUGAAUUAAAGAAUGUGCGAGUUAGGAUGAUUGGGCCCCUAGGGUUGAGUGGGGUGGUUGCGUUGAAUAGUAUAAAUAUGAACGAGUGAAAGCGAUCAAGCAUAGAUCUAACGGCUAAAAAAUUUAUAAGACCAAGUGCUGGUGCUUUUACAAGCCACCAUAAGCCGCGACUUAUAUAUAUAUAUUGAGAGAAGAGAGAUGAAUGAGAUGAGCAGGGCUUGUUUAUUGCUCUCCUCCGUGCAUCUCUGAGCCGUUUCUCGAUGCAUGGAGUUUCGAAUCUGACAUCGGCUCUAUUAAACUGUGAUCUAACGAUUUGUAAGUUUAUCUAGAAAAUAAUUUGUUGUGAUUUAUGUCUAAUAUCAGUUUACCUAGCCAUCGAAAGGAUUCAAAAAUCAAUAAUUUUUCAACAGCCUGAAAAUAAAAAUCCUAUAAAAAGUGGUGAUAUCAGCACUAAAAAUUUUCGAUGAGAAAAUAUUGAAUCUUAUUGAGAUAGUAUAAAAAUUUUGUAUCAAAUUUCAUUGAUUUGAAACUUCAUACACCGUUAAACAUUGAAAACGACAGAUAUUCAACCAAUUAAAAAUUAUGGAUUUUUGAAUCCUUAUCGGAUCACUAGUGUAACAUGAUAGUCGAAAAUAUGCAUCAAAAAAUAUUUAUCUAGAAACUUAAAAUGCCUAGAUCAAAGUCUAACGGAGCCGAUCGGUCGAUUCGAAAAUUCCGAUCACGAAAAGGGCUAUGGCACAGGAGGCCUCUCGUUCGCUCCUGAGAGUUAUCAAGGCAGCUCUGCUUAUAUUAAUAUAAUAUAUAUAUAUUAUAUAUAUAUAAAUAUAAGAGAGAGAGAGAGAGAGAGAGAAGAGAAGAAGAGCACUGUGGUGAGAGAGAGAGAGAGAAGCUAGCCACUAUACUAUCGGUAGCACGUGAGCGCUCCGGCUAGCCAGUUGUUUUCAUGAUGCGGCUCCAAAUCGACGAUCGCUCUGUUUAAACUUGAUCUACUACUUAAAAAGUAUUUAUGAAAACUAAAUUUCAUAAUUUUGUCGAGUACCAUUUACCUAUCAAACAGUAAGUAAAUGAAACGGUUUGAAAUAUAAAAUCUUAAUAAAAACAUGAUAUAAAAGAAUUUAAAUUCAAGAUCAGAUAUACGAUCUUAGCUCUAAUAGAUUAAAAAAAUUGUUCUUAUAAAAUUUUCCGGAUUGAAUGUUUUACACCGUUAAACUCUCAAAACACACCCGGCCCCUUGGUUUCUACCACUCGGCAUGUAAAAUUGUCAAUUUUGAGAUCUUUUGACACGAUGUCAAAUGAUGGUCGAAAAAAAUCUGAAAUUUAGUUUCCAAAUCUUUCAAUAGUGUAGAUCAAGUCUAACGGAGCAUCAUCGAUUUAUAAGACCGCAUCAUGAAAAAAACUUGGUAGCUGGAGCGCUCCGUGCUAACGAUAGCAUGGAGUAGCUACUAUGCAUCGGAAGCCACGGUAGCUUUCGUGCUCAAGCCGUUUUCGAUGUUGCGACUUUCGAAUCGCGAGCGGCUCGUUAAAACUUGAAUCUAGAGUCUUUGGACGUACCUAGCAAAAUAAAUUUUAUUAUUUCGAUAUCAUUUGCCUAUGAUCGAAAUUGGGUUAAAAUCAACAAAUUUUAAAUGGUCGCUAGUGAGCCGUUUGCAAGUUAUAACGGUGUAGAAAUAUCCAAAUCACAUGAAAUUUUGAUAGAAAAUUUUUAUACUAUAUAAAACAAGAUCAAUAUUUUGAUUUUAAAAUUUAAUAUCAUAUUAUUACAUUUAUUGUAAGAUUUUUAUUUUCAGCCGUUGAUUUGAGCCCUUCGUUCACUAGGCAAAAUGAUAUCGUAAAAUCAUAAAAUUUAUUUUCUAGGUACUUCAAAUCCUCUAGAUCAAGUUUAACGGAGCCGAUCGACAAUUCGAAAGUCGAACAUCGAAAAUGAGCUGGAAAGCACGGAAGGCCGUGCUUCAUGAUACCAUAGUAGCCUUACUCUCUCUCUCUCCUCUCCUUCUCUCUCUCUCUCUCUCUUCUCUAUAUAUAUAUAUAUAGAGUAGGGCUACUGUACUAUUAGGAGCACAGCAGUCCUUGUGCUCCUAAAUUCUUAACCGCCCAUCAAAUUUGAUGGGUGGUUAGGGUAAAAGAAAGAAGAGAAAUUGAAGAUAAAUUCAAAGAGAAGAGAAAUUGAGAAACCCAAUUUCUCUUCAAUUUCUCUUUUCUUUUUCAUCCUAACCACCCAUCAAACUUUAUGGGCGGUUAAGAACUUAGGAGCACAAGGGCUGUUGUGCUCCUAAUAGCACAGUAGCCCUACUCUAUAUAUAUAUAUAUAAUUGAGCUAGAAUGUUAUCAGUAGCAAAUGGGCUCCGUUGCCAUCCAUUUUGUUUUCGAUGAUAGAACCUCCAAAUCGACUAUCGGCAUCAUUGAACAUGAUUUAUACCACCUGAAGCAUAUAGAAAUCAAAUUUCAUAUUUUUCCGAUAUUGUUCUCUUUUCCAUUAAGUGGACACAAAAAUGAAUAACUGAAAAUAAAUAUCCUUUAAAAACUGAUAAUAGGAGUCUUGUAAUCAAGAUCAAGAAAUAGAUCUUAUUCUAAAUAGUUUAAAUUUUUUCUAACCAAAAUUAAUUGAUUUAGAUAUAUUUAUGCCAUUAAAUAAGAAAACAUCUCAUAUUCACCAUUAAAAUUAUAAAUUUUGAAAUUUUUUGAUCAUUAGGUCAAUAAUGUAGAAAAGAUUUGAAAUUUGGUUUCUAAAUAUUUCAGAUGAUAUAGAUUAUGUUCAAUUGUACCAAUCGUCGAUUUGGAGGUUCCAUCAUCGGAAACAAAUGGGUGGCACCGGAGUCUAUUUGCCACUGAUAAUAUUCCGGCUUAACUCUCUCUCUCUCUCUAUAUAUACCAGAAGCCAUCUCGAUCUGCAAGGCAAUAGAGCGAAAGAUGAGAGACCCUUUCUUUCUUUGAUCCGCUUUGAUCCGUCAAAAAUUCGCUUAUGUCCUGAUCCGCUCCUAAUAGAAUAGCGAACUGCCAAGACAAGGGAGCGAAAGAUAAGAGACCUUUUUUUUUAUUUUUGGCCUGCUCCAAUCCGUUAAAAAUCCGCUUGCCCUAACCCGCCCCCAAUAGAACAACGAUUGAGGGUCAAAAUUACUACAAAAAUUAAUUCGUUUCGGAUCCAUCCCGAUCCGACAAGAAACGGAGCAAGACCUGCACCCUGUUCGCAUCCCUAGGAACCAGUCCCGGAGGCGUUAGGGCCCGAGCAGCUGCAACACUCCUCACAGGUCGGGGCCACGCCAGGCCGACCGGUGGGGCAGUCGACCCGUAACGGCCCAUGACACCGGGGCAUGCCGGCAUGACACAAGUACUGUAGCACUCAUGCUGCACAAGGGCUGCCAGACUCAGACGUCGUUUGUUGCAACUUCCACGAGCCGGCCAGCAGAAUUUUACACCCUCUCAGGCUGAGGUAACUUCCCUUUGAAAUAUCCAAUCAUAGUGAGACACUUAAUAAUGUAUUGAAAUUACGAGGCAUGAUUUCCCAAUGGACAGUAAAAGAGUCACAAAGAGUGCCGAUAUUGAUACAGCAAAUUGUUAUCCUUAUAUUUGAUAAAUUUUAAUGUCACACUUUCAGCUCGCAAAUCGGCUCUAAUAUCACAUACAAUAAUCUGACUUGUUUGCACUAAGAACUCAUGAAGUUCAAAUUUCUGAUCCAAAACUUUUAAGUCUAAUUACUAUUUUAAAAGCUUUCGGUUUAUAAGUAUGCAUAUGCAUAAUUCUUUUUCCAUCCCAUAUAGGAUUACUAAUGUGACAACUCGGCCCACUAACGAUUAUUAAUAUUAGAGUAUUCCUAGUUCUUAUAUUCUUAUGUGUAAUUUUUUUGUUAGUGUUGUAGACUUUUUUUCAUCCAAUGUGAAAUUAUUUGGGCGUUACAGACUUUGAUGUCUUCGUCUGGGCUAAAUCUAAUCACGCACAUUGACCAGAAUCUUCAGAAAACGUAAAAUUCUAAAGAUACCUCUUGUAGGUAUUAGAGGUAAUUAACAUUUAGCUCAGAUAUCAAAAAAAAUGAAUAAACCCACUAACACUAAUAAUUCGUUGAAUCCAAACCACUGGUUAAAAAUAUUUAUGUCCAAUUAUUAAUAUUAGAAUUUUUUAUUUUUAUAUUUUCACACACAUUUUUUUUCAUCCCAGAUGGAACUAUUGUAGUGUUACAAUUAAAAAUGCACAUUUUCUCCGAUAUUUUUGGUGCGUAAAACCCAAGACAUAGGAAUCAUAUUUACAAUUUUCUACCUCUAAAUUUAUAUAAUUACAAGUCCCCUUAUAAUUUCUCGAGAUCAAUGAACAAAAAAAAUGGUGGCAUCACACACGAAGACGAGGAAUAAAUUCAAGGAAACAGUGGGAGAGCUCAUAAGUAGAUCCCACACGUGCCAAAGUUUUAAAAUUCCUUUUUUAUAAACGGAAAAAAUUGAAACAUUUGUAUUUAAUUUAAUCCAUUGCAUCAACGAAUCUUUGUAACUACAAUAAUAAGUGAUAGGCUUAUAAAUACUCUGUUUUUGCCAAAGAAACAGUUGUGAGAACGCUUGUUACUAUAGCAAUUAACAGGGUUAACAGUUUUUCAAUUUGAUCCCCAAUCUUUGUUUUUUUUCGUUUUUAGGUCUCUGACCUUUAUAUUUAAUUUCAGAUAGAUCCUAAUUAUUCAAAUUCACGCUAAUUUUAAUAAAAAAAAAAGGGCCACAUAGACUCCAAUAAUACUUUGCCUAUUCAUAUAAAUCAUAGUCAUGAUCUAAUAGCCUCUUUUCAAUUUAACUUUCACACCAAAAUUGAAUGUUCUAAAAAUCACAAUAAACUUCGCAUGCAAAGUCAAAGUCAAGGUUGUCGUAAACGCAUAAAAAAACAUUAAUGGUGACGAAAUUGGGCGUGGAAAGAUAGGCGUGCAUAUGAAAAAAGGACAGUAGGGAACCAAAGUAAAAGAUUUGAAAAAUGCUAGAGAUUAAUAAUAAUACAAUAAAUUCUUAAGAUUAAGGAUCUACUUGCAAAAAAUAAAAAAGUUUGGGUUUGAAGUUAAAAAAAUGAGGUAACGGUUUGGGACCGAAGUUGUAAUUAUCCGUAAUUAAUAUGUAGAAGUUAGGGAAAGAUCAAAACAAAAUAUCUCUAACAACUCUCUUAAGUACUCUUGUUAAAAGCUUCUUUUUUUUUUUUCCCUGUUGUAUGAAAGCGUGUCUAAAAUCUUUUUCAUUAUUGUUGAAAUUGAAUCCGCAUGUUAAUAAAAUGCAAAAAUACAGUAAUAAUAUUGAUAACAAUUUCGACGUUUUAUUCAACAACAAUAACGACACAAGUUAAAAACUAUAUUUGUCCAAUAUUUCCUCCGUUACAAUCUAAUUAAAAAGAUCUAAAGGCAAAUUAAUUCAAAAUAGAAACCGAAAUCAACGUAGAAAUAAAAAUGAAUCAGAAUAAAAAAUGGAAUGACAAAAUUUCUAAUUUAUCUGGUUUAUAAGAGAAAUCAAAAUCAAUAAUCAAAUUAUCAAUCCAUAAGGCAAAUUCCAAUUUAAAAACAAUUAAAUAUUUGAAUUUGUAAUCAUUAGAAAAAAAAAAUUUAUCUUUUUUUUGGCAUUAAAGUUGAUUCCGACAUCGAUAGUCGGAAUACAUGGAGAAAAUAAUUUGGAAGGAUUCGAUUUCCUCGAAAUGAAAACCGGCUGUCCCUAAAGUAAGUGGCAAAGGAUUUGACGGUUGGUACUCGAGACCCAUGUUCGAAUUCUAGUUGAUUCACAUUUCUAGCUAAGUUUAUUUCUAAAUAAAAUAAACGAAACGGAUAGCGUGCUAACUAUCUCUCUCAAAAAAAAAAAAAAAAAAAACCAUAUUAGUGCAGUUGUCCGACGGUUAAAAUAGUUGGUAUCCAAAGUUUCAAGUUCAAAACCUAAUUACAACACAUUUCUAGUUAGGUUUAUUCUCAUAAAAAAAAUAAACAAAGCGAGUAAAUCGCUACCUUUCUUUCUCUCUCUCUCUCUCAAAAAAAGAAAAAAAAAAAACAUUCAAGGUCAAGUUCGCCAUAUUUUAAUGAGCAUACGGUAUGCUGUUUACCAUGCAAACACGGCAAUCACAAGUUUCUUUAAUAUACGGGUAGAGAAAAUGAAUUUGGAACAGAAGGCAGCAGGAAUAAAUCAACUAGAAAAAUAAGAAAAUAUAUAUCUAUAUAGCUUCGUGUUAAGAGAAGUACAUCUCAUUUUUNCCCGACGGAUUUUAAAAAUCCAUAUCCAAACCCGAACCCGACCAAAAAUCCGAAACCCGAACCCGAACCCGAACCCGAAAAUUUAAACCCGAAACAAUUAUUUCUUUUUUCAAUAUUUCAAAAUAUAUUAUAUUAAACCUAAAUUUUUAAAAUACAAAUUCAAAUAUAACAUCAAAUUUUUAUAUAUAUAUUAUAUAUAAUACAAAAUAAAUUCGGGUUCGGGUCGGGUUCGGGUUCGGGUCGGGUACAAUCAAAAUCCAUAUCCGAAUCCAUAUCCGUCGGGUUUCUAUUUUUGAUAUCCAUAUCCGAAUCCAUAUCCAUAUCCAUCGGAUAUAUUCGUUUCAUUCGGGUUCGGGUUCGGAUAAAAUUUC